AAAACUCUCUCUCUCUGAGAAUCAUCUUCAAGGUGAGAUUCCAAAAUCCUUGAGUAAUUUAUGUAACUUACAAGAAUUAGAGUUGGAUAGAAACAAUCUCUCUGGACAGCUUGCACCAGACUUUGUGGCCUGUGCAAAUGACACAUUAGAGACUCUGUUUUUAUCGGAUAACCAGUUCAGUGGAUCAGUUCCUGCUCUCAUUGGAUUUUCAUCCUUGAGAGAGUUACAUCUUGAUUUUAAUCAACUAAAUGGAACUUUACCUGAAAGUGUUGGACAGCUGGCCAACCUUCAAUCCUUGGAUAUUGCCUCAAAUUCAUUGCAAGGCACUAUCUCUGAAGCCCAUCUCUUUAAUCUAUCCUGGUUGUCCUAUUUAAACUUAUCUUCCAACUCUCUCACUUUCAACAUGAGCUUGGAUUGGGUUCCUCCAUUUCAACUGCUUUCUCUACGAUUAGCCUCCUGCAAAUUGGGACCUCGUUUUCCUAGUUGGCUUCGUACUCAAAACCAGUUGAGUGAGCUUGAUAUCUCCAAUUCUGAAAUUUCAGAUGUCCUCCCAGACUGGUUUUGGAAUGUAACCUCAACUGUCAAUACCUUGAGUAUUUCCAACAAUCGGAUCAAAGGGACCUUACCGAAUUUAUCAUCAGAAUUUGGUUCUUUUUCUAACAUAGAUAUGAGCUCAAACUGUUUUGAGGGUUCAAUACCACAACUUCCUUAUGAUGUGCAAUGGUUGGAUCUCUCCAAUAACAAGUUAUCGGGGUCCAUUUCUUUAUUAUGUACAGUUGGUACUGAGUUACUUCUACUUGACCUCUCAAACAACUCGUUGUCGGGAGGGCUGCCCAAUUGUUGGGCGCAGUGGGAAAGCUUGGUAGUUCUUAAUUUGGAAAAUAACAGAUUUUCUGGGCAAAUUCCAAUUUCAUUUGGUUCCUUGCGAUCAAUUCAAACACUACAUUUGCGCAACAACAAUUUAACUGGAGAAUUGCCUUUAUCUUUUAAGAAUUGUACAAGUUUGAGGUUCAUUGAUUUGGCAAAAAAUAGGUUAUCAGGAAAAAUACCAGAAUGGAUUGGAGGAAGCCUCCCAAAUCUGACUGUUCUAAACCUAGGAUCUAAUAGAUUCAGUGGAGGUAUAUGUCCAGAGCUAUGCCAAUUGAAAAAUAUUCAAAUAUUGGACCUCUCUAGCAACAAUAUGUUAGGUGUUGUACCGAGAUGUGUUGGUGGUUUCACUGCCAUGACUAAGAAAGGGAGCUUGGUCAUUGUUCAUAAUUAUUCAUUUGCAGACUUCUCUAGUAAGUAUUCACUUAUUAGGAAUGCCUUUUAUGUUGAUAGGGCAUUGGUUAAAUGGAAAGGAAGAGAAUUUGAAUAUAAAAGUACCCUUGGGCUUGUAAAGAGUAUUGAUUUUUCAAGCAACAAACUAUCGGGGGAAAUUCCAGAAGAAGUAAUUGAUCUUGUAGAAUUAGUUUCAUUAAACUUAUCAAGGAACAAUUUGACGAGAUUGAUCCCUGCAAGAAUUGGUCAAUUGAAAUCAUUGGAGGUUCUUGAUUUGUCUCAAAAUCAACUCUUUGGUGAAAUUCCAGCUAGCCUUGUUGAAAUAAGUGAUCUAAGUGUCUUAGAUCUCUCUGACAACAACUUGUCGGGUAAAAUUCCACAAGGUACUCAACUUCAAAGCUUCAAUAUUGAUUCCUACAAGGGAAAUCCUGCACUCUGUGGAUUGCCUCUUCUGAAAAAGUGUUUUGAAGAUAAAAUAAAGCAAGAUUCUCCUACUCAUAACAUUGAAGACAAAAUUCAGCAAGAUGGAAAUGACAUGUGGUUUUAUGUUAGCGUUGCUCUUGGAUUCAUUGUUGGAUUUUGGGGAGUGUGUGGAACUUUACUACUCAACAACUCAUGGAGAUAUGCCUAUUUCCAAUUCUUGAAUAAAAUAAAAGAUUGGCUCUACGUGAUUAUAGCAAUAAAUAUGGCUAGAUUACAAAGGAGUCUUCAAAGCUAAAUGGUACAAUUCUCUCCCUCUCUCACUCUCUUUCAUUUGUACUUGUUUUUUCAGGCUAACAAUUGUCAAAGAAAAGUAGGCCUUUACAUAUCCUUGGGAUAUACUUUAUAAAUCACGAAUGCUAAUGCAAAUUUUCUUUCCAAGCAACUAAUUGAAGGGAUUUUUUCAAAUUGAUGAACAUUGAUUUUUACUUUGUGUUAAUUGCAGGACUGCAACUCUUGUUCUUGCCAUAUUAGCAUGGUUGAAUGCAAAUCGUUGUGUCCUUCCUUCUAUGAUUGAUCUUGGGAUGUAAUAGGUUUCUUGUUUUAUUUUGAGGAUUACUAAUGUUCUUUAGAUGUGUAUUUUAUAUUUUAUUCAGAAAUUUGUGUGACAUAUUAUCUCUUUUCUUCCUUACACAAUGCUUUUAUUUGGUAUUUGGAUACUUUAUGAUUCAUCCAAACAGUAUUAUACAAGGAUAUCAAAGGUAUAUUAGAGUCCAACUUUCUAAUUUUAAAAAUAUUUCUUUAGCUCUAAAACUAAUUUUUUUUCAUUAAAAUUAAAACAAAAUAAAGGAUAAUGUCAUUUGGUUAUGUAUGACAUAAGUUUUCAACCAAUUAUUAAUAAUUAAAUCAUAAUUUCAAAACUAAAGAAUUUUUUUUUUCACAAGUUAUUAAUGAUAUGUUUCUCUCUUUCUAAAAAAACUAAAUUACUCUAAUAAAUGGGAAACUCUUACUUUCAGUUCGUUUAAGCUUUUUCACUUGAAGUUGUCUCACAUGUAGAUAAUUUUUGUGGAAUAUUUUGUUUUCAUCAAUUUUAUAAAAUAUUAAGUCUAACUUCUUUUCUUAAUAAAAGGUUUUUUCUAAGCAAUUAAAAAACCUCUUGUUCUUUUCUCUAUUUUAACAUAAUUCAACUUUAGGAUGACUAAAAUAUGAUUGAAAAAUAUAAAAUAAGAGAGAAUAAUUAUUUGGAUCUUAGCUGUAAUCAUUUUGAAGGGAGGCACAUACCUCCAUUCCUUGGUUCCCUCAGCAGAAUGCAGUACCUCAAUCUCUCCAGGGCCAAUUUCUCUCAAACUGUUCCCACUCAACUGGGAAAUCUUUCCAACUUGCUUUCCCUUGACCUUAGCGGUAGUUAUUAUGAGUUGAAUUCUGGGAACCUGGAGUGGCUUUCUCGUCUUUCUUCUUUAAGACUCCUUGACCUGAGUUUUGUCGACCUUAGUGAAGCCGACCAUCCACUGGUCACAAGCAAUUAAUAAACUCCCUUCUCUCAUUCACUUGGAUACAAAAUUGUGGUCUCCCUCCCAUCCCUCCACUCACCAUUCCAUCUCUUUCCCAUGUGAAUUCCUCUGUCCCUCUUGUUUUCGUUGAUCUCUCUUCGAAUCAUCUCACUUCUUCAAUAUACCCAUGGCUGCUCAACUUUAGUACCACCCUCCUUCAUCUUGAUCUCUCUUUCAAUGAUUUAAACUGUUCGAUUCCGGAAUAUGCUUUUGGGAACAUGAGUUCCCUUGAAUAUCUUGAUCUCCACAAGAGUGAACUUGAUGAUGAAAUUCCGGAUACAAUUAGAGACAUGGGUUCUCUUGCAUAUCUUGAUCUCUCUGGCAAUCAACUGUGGGGCUCAAUUCCAGAUACAGUUGGGAAGAUGGUUUUACUUUCACAUCUUGAUCUCUCUUACAAUCAACUACAGGGCUCAAUUCCAGACACAGUUGGGAAGAUGGUUUUACUUUCACAUCUUGAUCUCUCUCGCAAUCAACUACAGGGCUCCAUUCCAGAUGCAGUUGGAAACAUGGUUUCUCUUGAAAAACUCUAUCUCUCUCAAAAUCAUCUUCAAGGUGAGAUUCCAAAAUCCUUGAGUAAUUUAUGGAACUUACAAGCAUUUGGAUAUGUUUCAACCAAUUAUUAAUAAUCAAAUCAUAAUUUCAACAUUAAAGAAAAAAGAAAUUUUAAUCGCAAGUUAUUAAUGAUCUGUUUCUCUCUUUCUAAAAAAACUAAAUUACUCUAAUAAAUGGGAAACUCUUUCUUUCUUGUUGUCAAAGUUUUUCACUUGGAGUUGUCUCACAUGCAGAUAAUUUUUGUGGAAUAUUUUGUUUUCAUCCAUUUUUUGCUUAUCUCAAGUUAACUUCAUUUUCUUCUUAGUGGUUGAUUUUAUAGGAUAUUAAGUCUAACUUCUUUUCUUAAUAAAAAGCUUUUUCUAAGCAAUUAAAAAAAAACUAUUGUUAUUUUCUCUAUUUUAACAUAAUCCAACUAUAGGAUAACUAAAAUAUGAUUGAAAAAUAUAAAAUAAGAGAGAAUAAUUAUAUUUUAAUUAUACUCGAUAAGUAAUAUCAAAUAUUUGAUUCACUUAUUAGAAAGUAGUAUUGAUCUCCAACAUCAUGAGAUUAACAUCCCAAUGAUUUUUUUUUUAUUUGUUAAAAAUUCUUAUCUUUCAAUACAUUACAAAAUUCCUUAAACACUUUAGCCCAAUGAUCUCAUGUUGUUUUGUUUUAGUUUUUUUUUCCUUCAUUUCCAGUCUUUUUUAAGGUCCUCCAUAGCUUGGAUUACACUUUGUGAGAAUUUACUCAAAAAGUCAUUAAGAAUCAAGUCCUAUCAAGUUUUUAAAAUCGUAAAAAUGAAAACUUUUAUAUUACCAUUCUUUUAUAAGUUUUUGUAUUUAUUAAUUUUUAUUUAUUUCUUUAUGAUAAAAUCUUUUAUCUAAAAUAUUUUUCAUGAAACAAUAAUUCUUUACUAUGAUUUUUUAAAUUUAAAAUUAUAAAAGACUUCAAUUCUUAUUAAAAAUAUUAUUUAUAUUAAUAUUUUCUUCUGAGCUCUUUCUAUCAGAACAAGUAGUGACUGUGUAGAUCCCUCAUUUUGGUUCUAGAUGAGACUUAAUUCUUUCUAGUCAUCUUUCGUUCUAUUUUCACCUUUUGAAUGGUGAACUGUAAAAGACAGGUGGCAAAAGAGGAUAUUAUGGUGGCAGACUAUGAGGGUAAGACACGUGGCAAUGAGGUUUUGGUUUUUCUGUUGGCUGUUUUAGAGAGAAUAGUGGAGUGUCUUGGUGGUAGAAAGAGUCGGGGGUUGUUAGAGGGCAGUAGAAAAUGUCCUCUGCAGGGAUGGCACGUAUCAGAGGGAUAUAUUUUCCUUUUGGGGUAUCUUGAGAAAAGGAAAAAGAAAAGGGGGAAGAGGAUUUUAUAGGGAGGUGAUACGCUGGAUCUCGAGAAGAGCUGAGGAAAAGCUGUGAAACAGAGAGAGUGAGUAGGCUGUGAGAGAGCCAUUGUUGAGAGAGUAAGCAGGCUAUUUUUGAGAAAAAAAGGGAUCAGAUUAGGAGCUCACCAGUUUUGUACUAUGCAUGCUUGUGGAAUCUGAGACCAUUUUUUUAUGUACUUUAUAUCUGGUUCUACUUUGGCUCCUUUGGCUCUGUUUAUGAACAACUUGUGCAUUUCACUUUUUAUGAAUAACUUGAAUAUGGAUCCAUCACUAAAUCUGAUUGUUAAAGAUCAUGCCCCAACUUUCUUUUGAUUCCACCCUAGUGUAGCUCAUUGACAAUCCAUGAAAGAGGGCUAAGAUUCAUUGAUGUUUCGUUUAUUUGUUCGUUUAUGCUCUGCCCCUGUUUUCGUUCUUCCCUAUAUUCCUCUAUUUCUGGUGUCUCUGGGUGAGGAUACAAUAACUUUGGUUAGACAGCCUUUGAGAAGUCUACAUAUUCCUGGUAUCUAUCACCAUUUUGUUGGCGUGUUGGAGAAGCAUUGCAUUGGACCAGGAUGAGAUGGUAAGAGACUUCCAGCUUCGGAGCAAUACCUUUGCUUUCUUGCUGAGUACCAAAGCUGGGACUGGAAAUCUGAUCAGUAAAAAGAAUAGUGAGCAUUUCGGGUUGAAUGAGGGUCCUUCGAGAGUCUACGGAUGAUGGCUACUUGAUUUUGGAGUUGGGGAACGAAUUUUCUCACUACCGAUGAUAUGAGUGUCAUACUAGUUGCAAAACUGAAGAGAAGAUUGGGAUGUGAAAUGUGGGCAAAAUUACAUUUGACUGGCAUGCAUGUUGACAUGGGUAUCAAGUUCCACUGGAGAUCAGGUAGAGGCAAUGGCCUUUCUAGGGGGUUUAAGACAUAAAAUGUGCUUUAAUGGCAUGAGAAUUUCUGGGUCCCUUUCAUCUAGUACUGUUUAUUUGUUAAUUUGGAGACCCAUUUUUGGUUUUGUUGAGGGUUCUGAGUUGAAGUUGGCCUGUGUUCAUGUGCAAAGUUUUGUUGGUAGAAUGUUAAAAUCAUUAAGAGUGACAGUUUACGCCGAGCCACAUUGUUCAGAAAGGAGAAGUGGUUUUGAAGGAAUCAAUCCCAUGAAGUAGUUGCCUCCAACAAAGAUUUGAGCAUUUUGAAGUCUGGGGCUCUGAGCAUUGUACACUUGAAGAAUGGCUUCAACAGGGCUCUGAGCAUUCUUGGGUUGCUAAAGUUGCCUCGGUUCAUUCCAGGUGCUAAUCAAAAUGAUAGUUAAAUUAAAGAAUAUAAAUAACAUAAUGAUUUCCAAGCUAAUGAGUGUUGUAUGCUUAUAUCAUGCUCUAUCUAUCAUCUUUUCUCCACCAUAACGGUGUUUUAUUUUAUUGGUUUUUUGCUGGUACUGGCAGAUGUUUGUGGGUGGUGGGAGUAUGCUAGAGCUGAUCACAUGGGGGCAAUUUCUUUUGUUGUUUGUUUCUCUACCAAAUUCAAAGUGUUAAGCACACAAGGGUAACAUGGAGAUGUUUAUAUCCUCUGUAGUCUGUUAUGUAAAAGAGUCUGAACAGAGCAUAUGAUUGAGAUGCGGCUUCGCCAACAAAAUUAGUAUGGUGUUUUAUUUCUUUUCACAGAGCACCCACCUGCCCAUUCCCUGAUCGUGAGUGUUAUUCCUCUUCCUCGGGAUGUCUCGUAAAGGCCCUUCAGUCUAUGGCGUUGAAGACGGCAUUCUCAGUUUGGAGAGACUCCCAAUUUGCUGAUUGUAGUUAAGAGUUUCACUACAUAUAUAGUUCUAUCAUUCAACAUACUUAUUCCGGAGUUAGGAAUGUAAGGGAUAAGAGCUUAUUUCAGACUAUUUAUUCAUGUUCUGUUUAAGAUUUUUAAAAGAAAAACGAAUGUGUGGCAAGUGAACCGCUUGAAUAUCUCCCUCAACACAAAUCAGGGAGUUCGACAUUCCUCAAAACAAGUACAUUAUCUCAGUUUGCAGUAAACAAGGAAUUUACCGUCCAUAGACAAAUAAACCAACGGCUGGCAUGUGCCUCUUCAAGUAGUCUAGGCUCUGCAUUGAACCAUUCCACACUUAGAACUUUUGAGAAAUCAAUAGUUGAGCGACAUUCAAAUGACUUUAAAGCACUCGAGCUUAUUCUUAUCAUGAAAAAGAUGAAACAAAGAGAAAUUUAGUUUGCUCUCAACUGCAAUCCAUAUCUUCUGGAAAGGAUGAAAUUCAUUAUGGGCAUCUCGAAAGCAUAUUUCAAGGCUGAGAAAUUCACGAGUCAAUUAGGAAACACAGGGCAUGUCAAGAUGCUACAGCCAUUUGCGUUUUCUUGCUUUAACAUGGGAACAAACAGAAAAUGAUGUAACAGUUCAAGAUGAAUCAGAAAAGAUAGUCUUGAAAGCAUCAAGUUUUCCCAAAAGGGGGGGGGGGGCGAGUUCAGACCAUGAAGUGUAGGAGAAAUUGGUUGGAUGCAUAUCUAACAAGAAGACAUGUUUCUAAGGCAUAUAACCAAUUUUCCAGAUUCUGAUUUUCAUGAUUUUGAUAUCGACGAAACUGAGAGUUCCUUUGGGGAUGACCAAUUUUAGUCUGCAUAUGAUAACAAAUGAUGAGAGAAGCCUCCUCAAUGUAAGCAGCUCAGGGCCUUCUAAGGCAUUUCCCUACGUAUAUUCCAGCAGAUAAGGACGAAAUUAAUAUUAGGACUUAUGUCUAUGGAGAUGUGGAGCUAGUCGAAAUUGCAAUUCAGCUUUCAAAACGUUAUUCUAAUAGGAUGCUUCCAAAGAUCCAUGAAGCUGGAAAUUUGAGACAACAACUCUUUUGCUGUUAACAUUUGGAACCAAAUCGUAACAGAUAUUGGUAUUGCAAUAACCAAGGAGCACAUUGACCAUCUUGGAAUCAUAACUCGAGAUGGUGCUCCAUGAUUCUUAAAGGCUUUUGAGGAAAUUAAAGGUUUCGAGGUUGAUGGUGUACUGAUUGGUCAACUUGUUGGCAUAUUUCCUACAUUUCAGGUACAGCGAAGGUGGCAGUGCCAAUGAAGGGCUCAUGAUCUGAUGAGCAAUAUAUCUGAAAGGCAUCAGGAUCUUCACCCCAUUCUGCAAGUGAUACAUGCACGAGCAACAGGCUUGAGAUCAUUAUUGAUCCUUAUCCGAAAAGAUGCUAGUUAGGGAGCAGUUCUGGAAGGAAAAGAAUUCCUACAAGCUCCACAAAAUGAGAACCUUAUUCUCAUGAUGACAAAACAACAGUAAAAAAAAAAAGUUUGACUAGGAAUUCAUAAUGAACAGGGGAACACAAAAGUUGAGUUACAAUGUUAAGGCGAAUGAGUGGCAGCACAAGCAGUUUGAUCCAAAAUCAAACUUUACUGCUGCACCACAAGCUGUUGUUGUUGAUGAACAAGGAUUAAAAUAUCGAAAAUUAGGGGCAACAGACCAUAUGACAGGUUGUGCAAGUCUUUUUUCUACUUAUACUCCAGGUUCUGGACACAUUAAAGUCAAAAUUGCAUAUGGAUCUCUCGCUACUGUUGCAGGGGCUGGUACUAUAAUUUUAGGGCCUCAUAUAACCUUUUUCAAUGUUCUCCAUGUCCCAAAAUUAUCAUGUAAUUUGUUGUCUAAGGAAGAGCAUUGGCAGUGCUAAGGAAUAUGGAGGGCUCCACAACUUCAAGGAAAUACCAAGGAUGGACAAGUUCUAUCAGUUGGUUGUGAAUCUUCCUAGACGACUAAGCAACAAGAAAUAGUGUUGUGGCACUUUAGGUUAGGUCAUCUUAAUUUUCAAUAUUUGAAGCAUUUGUUUCCUUCUUUUUUCAAUAAUAAAGAUGUUUUUUAGUGUGAUAUUUAUCAAUUUGCUAAACAUCAACGGUCCAAUUAUCCUUCUCAACCCUAUAAAGCAUCCAAACCUUAUGUAAUGAUACACACUGCAUAUGGGGUCCCUCACGUCUACAAAGUCUAAUUGGGAAAAGGUGGUUUAUCAUUUUUAUUGAUGAUCACACGAACUACAUGGCUAUGUCCUUGAAAGAAAAAAAUGAGGCAAAACCAACAUUCAAAAUUUUUUAUCAAAUGAUUCAAAACCAAUCUAAUGUUAAAAUCCAAGUCUUAUAAACGAAUAACAAGAAAGAGUAUUUUAACACCAUUUUGAGGAAUUAUUUGUUAGAAAAAAGGAUUAUGUAUCAAAGUUCGUGUAUAGAUACACCUCGACAAAAUGGAGUGGUCAAGUGAAAGAAUAGACAUUAUUGGAAGUAGCCCGAUCCAUUAUGCUUACCAUAAAUGUAUCAAAACAAUUUUGGGGAGAUUCCAUUCUUACAACUUAUUAAGAUAAUAAAUAAUAUGUCUACCUGAGUUUUCAAUUACCAAACACCAUUAAAAUCAUUCCUUCAAUUAUAUGCACAAACUCAGUCCAUUAACCAACUUUCCCUUAAGGUUUUCGGUUGUAGAGCCUUUGUUCAUGUUCUUGACCAAAAUCAAACCAAACUAGAUCCUACAGCAUUAGCUAUAUCUUCCUUGGUUAUUCAGCCACACAAAAGGGGUAUCGUCAUUGCUCUCCUAAAAAACAAAAAUAUUGUCACUUGGAUGUUACAUUUUUUUUAGAACCAACCUUUUUCUCCAAAAAUUCACUUCAGGGGCAGAAUAUAGAUAAAGAGAAUUUUUGGGAAUUAUCAUUGCUAAGCCUACUACUAGAACAACCACCAAACCUGUUGCCUAACCCGACUAUAUCACCAAAACAACUAUUAAACUAGCCUUCUUACCCACCUGAACAGCCAGGUCACCUCUUUAACCAACUAGUGUUUGAAACUAACAAACCAAAAACAACCGAACCCAACUAGACUUGGGGUGUCAAUGAUAAGUCCCAAACUCAGUCUUUGCGAAGAUACUUUGUUUUCUCUUCGGGUGAGAAACGAACCACAAUUUGAUUGCAAAGAAAAAUACCUCCUAUUAACGAAAGCAUUGGCUGCUUUAAAUAAGCAAAGCCACGUACAAACGAACCGAAAUAAAAAGGAAACUAACAGCUAACAAAUGGAACCCAAUACACUUAAAACAGAGCAUAACAAACGGAAAUAAAAUGACUAUUCAAGCAAAGACUGGUUAGUCUCCCAUGUGGCGUCCUCGACUGGUAGAUGCUUCCACUGGAUAAGAUUUUCUUCUUCAAAUUUAUUCCCCCGUUUGACCUAGCGAGUGUCCAGUAUAUGCUGAGGUUCGAGUAUAACAGCCCCUUCAUCAUUAACUGGCGGCAGCUCUUGUGAAGGUUUUGCAAGUUCUCCCACGAAAUUUUUUAAGAGUGACACGUGGAAGACAGGAUGAAUGUGGGCUCCUUCCGGCAGUUGAAGUUUAUAUGCGACGACCCCAAUCUUUUGUAUCAUUGGAUAUGGUCUGUAGAAGCGACUAGCUAGCUUCUGGUGGGCUCGUUUGAAGGCUGUCUGUUGUCUGUAGGGGUGCAAUUUAAGAAACACUAGAUCACCAACUUCGAAGAAAACAUCCCGACGUUUUUGAUCCGCAAUCUACUUCAUGCGAUUAAUGGAAGUCUCUAGAUUAAUUUUGAGUUGACGCAACAGUUCAUCUCUAGCCUCUAGACUUUGGUCGACUUCAUGCACCGAAGACAUCCCAUUAUGGUAAAUGGGAAUUUGAGGAGGUAAUAUAGUGCCUGAAAAGGGGUCAUUCCUGUGGACGCAUGAUACGUUGUAUUGUACGAGAGCUCAGCCCAUGGAAGGUAGUUGCUCCACUUGCGUGGCCAUUGAUGAACCAUACUCCGGAGGCAUUGCUUAACACAACGAUUGACAACUUCUGUUUGUCCGUCCGUCUGUGGGUGGUAGGCGGAGCUAAGUUGUAGCUUGGUUCCCAACAUUUGAAAGAACUCCUGCCAGAAUUUGCUGAUAAAGAUGGGGUCCCGGUCGCUGAUGAUAGACUUGGGUAGUCCAUGCAAUUUAAUAACUCCUUCUACAAACCUUUCAGCCACGAUUUUAGCAGUAAAAGAAUGAGUUAAGGCUAGAAAAUGUGCAGACUUACUCAAACGGUCGACAACUACUAAGAUUGUGUCCUUCCCGUGGAUGUCGGUAGUCCUUCAAUGAAGUCUAAGGUGAUGUCGUCCCACACUUGACAUGGAAUGGGUAACGGCUGCAGGAGCCCAGUUGGAGGCAUUGUUUCAGACUUAACCUUCUGGCAAGUUUCACAUUUCUUGAUAUACUAUUGCACCGUCUGGUACAUUUUUGGCCAGUAGAAUUGUUGGGCCAAUUUCUUGAAUGUCCGCAAGACCCCAGAAUUCCUCCUAUUUUUGUAUCGUGCAUUUCAUGGAGUAGUUUCGUCUGUAAGGCAGCAUGAGAAGGAAUGAUGACUCUCCCUUUAAAGAAGAGCAGCCCAUUACGCCAUGCAUACGGCCCUUCUAGUUGAGCAUUAGCCAGUCGAGUUAGAGAUUGGACGUAAGAGUCUCCUUCAUAAGCUUUUUUAAUCUCAUCCCAUAUGGUCACCAUUGGCACAUGAAGAUGGAGAAGAAUUGGACUACUAGACUUGCGUGAGACGGCAUCCGCUACUAAAUUCUCGUGGCCUAGGCGGUAAAUAAUCUCAUAGUCAUAGCCCAUUAGCUUGACUACCCAUUUUUGCUGUUCUGGCGUAGAUACAUGCUGCUCCAAGAAAUAUUUCAAGCUACGCUGGUCGGUGAGAAUGAAGAAUUUUUUUCCCAGUAGAUAAGGACGCCAUAGGCGUAUGGCCUCCACAAUUGCAAGCAUUUCCUUGGCGUAGGUUGACCAAGAUUUUUUUGUAACCCCCAAUGCUCGACUCAUAAAUGCUAUAGGCCUGCCUUGCUAUGAUAAAACUGCACCAAUCCCCUCCCCAGAUGCAUCAGUUUCAAUGGUGAAGGAGUCAUUGAAAUUAGGCAUAGCUAAUGUUGGAGUGGUUGUCAUUGCUUGUUUGAGAGCUAGAAAGGCUGCUUCGGCUUCAUCAUUCCAGCCAAAUUUUCCCUUUUUGAGCAAGUGGGUUAGGGGUCACGCUAUGAUGCCGUAGUUUUGAACAAACUUUCUGUAAUACCCUGUUAAGCCUAAAAAACCACGUAACUCAGAAAUAUUAGUGGGGUGUGGCCAUGCGACCAUGGUUGCAAUUUUAUUGUUAUCAACCUUCACUCCUUGAUGUGUGACAAUGUGCCCCAAGUACUCCAGUUCCUGUUGGCCAAACACGCAUUUGCCUGCCUUGGCAAAAAAUUGGUGUUGUCACAAGGUCUCCAAUGUUUGUUUAACAUGCACCAUAUGCUCAUCCUAAGUGGGACUAUACACCAAAAUAUCAUAAAAAAAGACCAAAAUGAAUUUUCGAAGGUAAGGUCGAAAUAUUAAGUUCAUGAUGGCCUGAAAUGUCGAGGGUGCGUUACAAAGGCCAAAAGGCAUUACGAGAUAUUCGUAAUGGCCAUUAUGAGUACGGAAAGCAGUUUUAAUAACAUCGGAAGGAUUUACUCUUACUUGAUGAUAGCCGGCCCUCAGAUCAAAUUUGGUGAAGUAAGUGGCGCCAUAUAAUUCUUCCAACAUAUCAUCCACUGUUGGAAUGGGAAAACGAUCCUUGAUGGUGGCAACGCUAAGUGUACGGUAGUUUGUACAAAAUCGCCAACUGCCAUUUUUUUUCUUCACUAGUAGUACCAGCGACGAGAAAGGACUGGUGCUCGGACGAAUGAGCCCCGAAUCUAACAUUUCUUGGACCUGUUUCUCGAUUUCUGCUUUCUGAAAGUGGGCAUACCUAUACGGCCGGACGUUAAUUGGCUCGGUUCCCUCCUUUAGCGUAAUACAAUGAUCCACUUCAUGUGCAGGUGGUAAACUUGAGGGCUCUUGGAACACGUCCUCAUACUCUUUCAACAACCUCUGCAUACUUUGCUGGGUAACUUUAGUUGGUGCAUCAGCUGGUGCGGUUUCCAUGGUUGGUUGGAAACACACAGCAAAUAGCGCAUGUCCUUGGCGAAACUCCUUCAAUAUUUCUUCUGGUGAAGCGGCCUGAAUGGUUUGCACGUCCACUCCUUGCAGCCUUCGGUCUUGAUUUUCCCAAAUAAAAUCCAUGGUCAACUGUUUCCAGUUACAAACCACAGAUCCCAGCAUUUCAAGCCAUUGAACGCCGAGGAUAAGAUCAAGACCUGAUAAGGGCAGAGAGAAAAGGGUGAGGUAGAAUUUAGUACCUUGUAAUUCUACCCGUACCUUAUCGUAACACCCCUGACACGUUAGUCUUUCUUCGUUGGCCACCUGGACAGGGAAUGUCUCUGUAGGUAUGACUGGCAACCUAAGCAUGUUUGCCAAACGGUUGCUGAUGAAGUUGUGUGUCGAUCCAUAACCCACAGGUCCCAUGUUUCUUAUGGGAACCAACAAGGAGCGAAUUGAGCACUUGGAGACUAGACUCGGUGUAGUUCAGGAAGAACUACAGCGAAUGGAGUUGGGUAUGAUCGACAAACUCCACCAUCCGGAGGAAGCUCUCAAUCGACUUUCGAACGUGUUGCUCGCUAAUCUGGAGUCCUUAAAUCAGGCAAUUACCACCAAGAAAACCAAAAUGGAGGUCGGUAGAUCGUCUCGUCCAAAUCAGCCAAGCUAGAAUUUCCACGCUUCUCUGGAAACGAUCCAAUGAAGUGGUUCAAUCGGGUGGAACAAUUCUUUGACUACCAGGGCACUGCAGAAAACCAAAAGGUUCCUAUGGCUGCUUACCACCUUGAAGGGGAGGCCAACCAAUGGUGGCAAUGGCUUCGCAGGAUGUUAAAGGAAGGACACGUGAUUUCGUGGGGGAAAUUUGAAGAGGAAUUAUGGGCUCGCUUCGGACCAUCAGGAUGCGAAGACUUUGAUGAAGCUCUCUUAAGGAUCAAGCAACUGGGAACUUUGAGGGACUAAUAGCGCGAGUUUGAAAAGCUUGGCAAUAGGGUCCAAGAAUGAACUCAGAAAGCAUUGGUGGGGACAUUCAUGGGUGGCUUGAAGGCUGAAAUAGCGGAUGGGAUUUGGAUGUUUAAGCCACAGUCGCUCAAAGAGGUCAUUAACUUGGCACGGAUGAGGGACGAUCAACUCGCAUGGCAAAGAAGGUUCAUGCGGUUACCACCUGUGAGAGCUCCGAUAGCUCUUCCACAAGCCACUCGUGUAGCUCUUGCUACACCUGCAAAACCCAUUAAGCUUUUGUCUUGGGAAGAAAUGCAGAGGAAGAGAGCACAAGGUCUUUGUUUCAACUGCAAUGAACGUUUUACAGCAAGCCAUAGAUGUCAAAAACCACAACUCUUACUCUUGGAGGGGCAUGCAGGUAACGUGUAUUGUGGGGACGGUACUGAUCAACAAACGUUGGAAGAUGACCAUGGUGGAGAGGCAGCAGAGGUGCAGGAACAUGAACGUAAACCAGAGAUCACCUUGCACACACUAACAGGAUGGACAACACUGAAAACCAUGCGGGUAACAGCGAAAAUGGGUCGCCAUGAAGUAAUGGUUUUGAUUGACAAUGGAUCGACACACAACUUCAUCAGCAACCGUUUGGCAAACAUGCUCAGGUUGCCAGUCAUACCUACGGAGACAUUCCCUGUCCGGGUGGCCAACGGAGAAAGACUAAGGUGUCAGGGGCGUUACGAUAAGGUACGGGUAGAAUUACAAGGUACCGAAUUCUACCUUACCCUUUUCUCUCUGCCCUUAUCAGGUCUUGAUCUUGUCCUCGGCGUUCAAUGGCUUGAAAUGCUGGGAUCUGUGGUUUGUAACUGGAAACAGUUGACCAUGGAUUUUAUUUGGGAUUUGGUUUAUGGCCCUUCUCAGAUCGUCGUGGCCUAUCAAAGUUCCCAGUUGCUUGAUCCUUGAGAGAGCUUCAUCAAAGUCUUCGCAUCUUGAUGGUCCGAAGAGAGCCCAUAAUUCCUCUUCGAAUUUCCCCCACGAAAUCACAUGUCUUUCUUCCUUUAACGUCUUGUAAAGCCACUGCCACCAUUGGUUGGCCUCCCCUUCAAGGUGGUAAGCAGCCAUGGGAACCUUUUGGUUUUCUGCAGUGCCCUGGUAGUCAAAGAAUUGUUCCACCCGAUUGAACCCCUCUGUUGGAUCGUCUCCAGAGAGGCGUGGAAAUUCUAGCUUGGCUGAUUUGGACGAGACGAUCUGCCGACUUCCAUUUUGGUUUUCUUGGUGGUAAUUGCCCUGAUUUGAGGACUCCGGAUUAGCGAGCAACACGUUCAAAAGUCGAUUGAGAGCUUCCUCCAGAUGGUGGAGUUUGUCGAUCAUACCCAACUCCAUUCGUUGUAGUUCUUCUUGAACUACACCGAGUCCAGUCUCCAAGUGCUCAAUUCGCUCAUUGUUGGUUCCCAUAAGAAACCUGGCUCUGAUACCAAUGAUAGGUCCCAAACUCAGUCUUUGCUAAGAUACUUUGUUUUCUCUUUGGGUGAGAAACGAACCACAAUUUGAUUGCAAAGAAAAAUACCUCCUAUUAACGAAAGCAUUGGCUGCUUUCAAUAAGCAAAGCCACGUACAAAUGAACUGAAAUAAAAGGGAAACUAAUAGCUAACAAAUGGAACCCAAUACGCUUAAAACAGAGCAUAACAAACGGAAAUAAAAUGACAGAAAACUCUCAACUACAGAUGACCCAUUUCCUUCUGCACGUAGGACUCUCAACUGCCACGACCUAGUCCAAGUCCAACGGUCCUUCACGUUCCAACUCAUCCCAAAUAUUUGGGAUUUGGUUUAUGGCCCCUCUCAGAUCGUCGUGGCUUAUCAGUCAACAACAAAAACAGAUUCAAGGCCAGGAGAGAUUCACUACAAUAACCAAAACUUCAUGUCUAUUCAAGGAGGAGUAACUCAAGAAUAGUAGAAACCAAAAUGGAUCAAUAGUGCUGUCAAGAAUAAGAACAAACUGUCCUUCCUGAGGUAAGUGACCUUAAUUUGCCUAUAGCCAUGAGAAAAGGUGUUUGACCAUGUACUCAACACCCUCUCACCUCAAUUUCAAGCUUUUAUUUCCAAACUUUUAGGAGAAGAAGUUCUGGAACAUAUUUAUAAGGCUCUACAAGAUCCUCGAUGGAGAGAAGCUUUUAUGGAGGAAAUGAAAGCUUUGGAAAAAAACCGAACUUAGGAUUUAGCGGACAAGCCCAGAAGAAAUAUAUUUGUUGGAUGCAAAUGGUGUUUGCUAUUAAAUAAAAGUCAGAUGGGUUCAUUGAAAAGUACAAGGCAAGGUUGGUAACUAAGGGAUUUGCACAAACUUAUGGUAUUGACUAUCAAGAAACAUUUACCCUAAUUGCCAAACUUAACAUCAUAACAGUUCUUUUAUCCCUUGCUGCAAAUCUGGAUUGGUGAAUUCAAUAACUAUAUAUCAAAAAUGUUUUUAUGAAUGGAGACCUAGAAGAAGUGUACAUGGAAUUGUCUCCUAGAUUCGAUCAAAGAAGGAAGGUAAGGAAAGUCUACAAGAUUAGAAAAUAUCUCUAUGGGUUGAAACAGUCUUUUUAUGCAUGGUUCAAGAGAUUUACCAAUGCCAUCAUGAGGCAUGGAUAUACAUAGGAUCAAUCUAAUCAUACCUUAUUUUAUCAUCACAAUGAUGGUAAGGUCACUAUUCUCAUGGUCUAUGUGGAUGAUAUCAUAGUGAUUGGGAAAUGAUUUAAUGGAGAAUGAACAAUUAAAAGGGAAGCUAGUUGCUUAGUUUGAAACCAAAGAUCUAAGACCUCUACGUUACUUUCUAGGGAUGGAAAUGGCAAGGAAAAAGAGUGAAAUAUCAGUUUCCUAAAGAAAAUAUAUUCUAGAUCUCUUGAAGGAAACCGAGAUGCUAGGAUGUAAACCUUUGGAUGCUACAAUGGAUUCGGUAAAGGAGAUUGAAGGAUAAAAAGAAAGCACACCUGUCAACACUGAAAGAUAUCAAUGUCUAGUAGGGAUGCUAAUUUAUCUUUCCCACACUAGACUAGACAUCGCUUUUGCAAUAAGAAUUGUGAAUCAAUACAUGCAUGCUCUUUACAAAGGACAUAUGGAAUCCAUGUAUAGAAUUCUAAAGUAUCUCAAAGGAUCUAUAGGGAAAGGAUUAUUCUUUAGAAAAAAAUGAAACAAGAAGCAUUGAAGGGUUCACGGAUGCUAACUAGGCAAGUACCAUAGAAGAUCAAAGAUCAACUUCAGGCUAUUGCACCUUGGGGCAAGUACAAUAUAUUAACCCAUUCCACAUCAGAACUCAUAAGCCAAAGUCCAAGCUUGGUUCAAAAACUUAGGCCUUGAGAUUGAGUGUUGCAACAUCUUGGACAUGGGCAUCUAUCCCCACUUGGAAAUUAUUGCUCACCAUAUUUGUGUUAUAAAAGUCUAUAAUGGUUUUGGAAAUUCUAUCCUUAUUCUCCAUUUUUUUAUUAGCAAAUAAAAUAAAAAUUAUAUUUACAUUCAAGCAAGGAUUUACUAAUGUCAGUAAAUAUACAUAUCGAUUUGAUAGGUUGGUGGGUCAUUGAAUCAAGUUAAGUCAGAUCAGAUUUAGCUAGCCAACAAGUUAUAAUCACAUUUUACAUCAAUUUAAUUAGGAAUUUCCUUUCAAAAUAAAAUCACAUUAAAUCAGCUUACUACCUCUUGUAGUUGAUAUACAUUUAACAAGGAAUUGAUUGUCAAAUUUAUAAAAGUCAUAUUUUAAUAGGCUAAUAUUUGGAAUUAUAAUAGUUUCAUUAAACAUGACAACUUUUAAUUUAAGAGAAAAAUGCCUCCAUUAGAGAUUAAAGAGGAGCUUUUAGUUUCAAAAAAGAAAAUCCAAAAUAGCAUUUGUCUCUCCUUAGUCUUAUGGAAAAUUUUAUUUCAUAGGAGGAAAAGAACUUCUAUGUUUCAAAAUUUGGAAAAAAUAAAAAAUAAAAAGUUACGAUUUAUAAGUUAGUAGAGUAUUUUGAAAUUUUAACUUUUCUAACAUAGUAUUUUAGCUGAGUAAUUCCCAAUACUUUUAUUUUCAAAUUAUUUCUUAUCACUCAAUCACAAAGUCCACAAACUUCAUUUCCUACAAAUGAAAUGAAAAUCAAAAUUAGCAAAAAAAAAAAAAAAAAAAAAAACCAGUAUAUUGGUGUCAUAAAAUAAUAUGUGGAUAUAAUCUUGCUUUAUUUUUGACAAAAUAAUAACUUGAAUAUUUGAUUUGGUUGUUUUGAUGUAGAUCCAAGAAGUGAAGCAUUGUGGACUUGCAUUUUUUCACGUGCGCCCCCACUCAAUCGGUGAGACUCACUUUUAUUUGUGAAAAAUUAUUUUUGAAAAAGUCAGAGUAACCAAUUUGUGGACCUACAUUUUUCACGUGCGCUCCCACUCGAUCGACAAGACUCGCUUUUAUUUUUGAAAAAUUAUUUUUGGAAAAGUCGGAGUCGUCACUUAUUUUAUUUUAUUUUAAAGGGAAAAUAAAAUAAGAAAUAAAACCCUAAAAAAAUGACUCCACAUUUUUGGAAAAGCAUGUCUCGAAAAAUCUAAGUCUAGGUCCGGGGAUCAGGUUAUCUAUUAGGAAGGUACCUCUAAAAGGUAGCAUCUCUCUAAGCCUUACAAAGGUCUCUACUGACUAAUUUAAGGGAAAUGUGGCAAUUAAUUGAUUAAUUGAGGAUACCUAGGUAGGCUAAGGUGAUUUCAAAAAAAUAGCAUGCCAAACAAGAUCAAAUCAUAAUAAAUGAGAGUUAGGAUGCGUACCUGAACCGCUUCUCAAGCGCUAUCAUAAAACAUCAAAGUCAAUAUAGAAAUAUAACACACGACAUGUAUUUAAUCAUAGCAAAUCAAGCAUACAUCCAAGAACCUAAGGAUCAUAUCAAACAUAAAUAAGGCUCAUAACAACAUGCAUGUUCAUGAAAUUCUGAAAAGUAAAGAUAGAGAGCGCACCUAGAUAACAUGCAUAAUUUAUAAGAUUCCUCCAAAAAUGUAAUAAUGGUUAGGACAAGUAUAAAUUAUAUAAUAUCUCUAUUAUAUCUAAUAUAUAGUACCAAAUCCAAAAGUGAACCAAGGUAAGUCAAAUGACUCCAAAAGCAGAUAACAAAUUCCAACAAGUACUGAGUCAUCAACAUGCAUAUAGUAAAGGGAGCAUCACAAAAAAAUUGCUAAAAAAAAUGUCUUGGAGUGGAAUUUAAUCACAAAAAAUUUCCAUAAGCAACUCCUACAUAUCUAGAACAAGAUACCAAAAUCAAAACACUCAUUCGAAUGACAAAUUGCAACAAAGACACCCAAAAAUUCCAAAAGGUCCAAAUUAGGUAAAAAGAAAAUAAUGACAUGCAUAAACGAAUUUUUUAAAGAAUUAUAAGACAUCACAUAAAUUCUUACAAAAAAUCACAUACAUCAUUCAAGGUGUUUAUAUCACAAAGAAAAUAAAUCCAGGGUUGGGUGGUACUAAAAAAUAUUUUAAAAACACUCAAGCUAAUCAAAUGUCCAUAUUCCAUCAUGCACAGUAGGUACAAAUUUGAAAAGUCAUAUCUCCCUCAACGAGGCAUGUGUUUUAAUAUUUUAUGUGUCUAAGAUCAAUUUCAAGAAGCCUAGAAUUGAGAAAAAAAUAUUGAAUCAAAUUUAAAAAAUCGCCUGGUAUUUUAUUUUUUCAAAAAGUUCUCGAGUGUCCAGAACUGGGUGAAAACAAAGCCCCCCUAAAGACUCAUUCAUAUUUUCUAUUCCAGAAUGACUUUCUAACUCAAAUGAAAGUUUAAAUUCAAGUUCAAGAAGUGAGGAAAGUCAUGCAAGUUUUGGAAAACUUUUAAAAACAUUCUAAAGUUUCUAAAAUGAAUUUUAAAUCUAAAGGGUCAGUGGCUAUAAGUGAAAAUUUGUAGCAAGGAAGAGUUUUGAAAAAUUUUCUUAUGUAGGGGUUUCACCAAUUCCCUAAUUGAUAUAUACAAAUCCAACCUAAAAUCAUCCCAUUUGUUUGGGACCACAAGCUUGAAUUCAUAUUCCGUUCAAAACCAGGAUAUUUUUUUGAAAACUGAGAAAGAUGCAAAAUGAUCAAAACAUGGUUGCAUAUUUUUAAAGAAAAUGGGAUUUUGAUUCUGAAGACUGUAUAUUUUUUGCACAAAAUUUUCAAAGGUAUCUUUUGAGAAAAGCAUUUGACUUUAAAGUAAAGGGAAUUAGUAUGAAAACAACAAAACAUAAGAAAUGAAAUACCGAGCAAAACAGAAGAAAACGAAUUCACAAAGUGAAAUUUUUUACAAUCUGAGUAAACCAAAGUGGUGAGAAUGGAGGCCAAUCUUCACUUUUUUUUUUAUGACCUAUGAAAAUAAAAUUAAAGAUAAAAUUAUUAUAGCAACCUACCAGAGAUGUUUAGAUCAAGUAAACUAACAUUUUAACAAAUCCAACUUUUAAUUUGGCACCAAAAAUUACAUGCUAACGUUUUAAAAAAUCUAACUUUCAUUCUAUUACUAAGGAGUAUGGAAAACAAGUGUCUAAAGAAAUUCUAUCUUUUAAAUGAUCACCAAGAAUAAAAAAAAAAAAAAAAAGACUUCAAGAAAAUCUUAAACUAGCAUAGAUAAUCAAGAACUAAUUGUUGGAAUUUUAAAUGCAUCUAAACUUAAGAUAAAUCAAUCAAGCGCUUAGAAAUGAGUUUUAAAAUGAAACUAAUAAUACGGGAUAUUCACAAUUAUCAACUUAGUUCCAAAGAAAUAGUAAACGUCAUCGGGAUCACUAAAACAACAUCUAAUAAUCUAAAGAACAACAUAUAAUGGCAUAAAUCAUCAAAAAACAGUAACUUAUUGCUUAGAAUCGAAUGUAAAUUAACAUGGGUUUUUAAAAUUAACUACUAAGGAUUCAGGGAAUAAACGAAACAUCAUGGAUCAAUAUAGAAAAGAAUUCAUAAGUAUGCACUAAGGGGAUCAAAAGAUUUCAUGAGUGUUGAUUUAAAAAAAAAACAGUUGAUUCCUAAUUCAAUAGUUCUAAUGAAUUUUAUUUAUAAAAGAAAGUUUUGAUUAGUUUAAAUAAUAAAAUGCUUUAAUUUCAUUUAAGGAAAAUACUUUUAAAAAGUUUAUUUACACGAAAAUAAAUGUUAUUACUUUUGUAAAAGAAAUAUUUCAUGAGUAUUAAAAAAAUAAUUGAUUUCCUAUUCGAUAGUUUUAAUGAAUUUUAUUUAUAAAAGGAAGUUUUGAUUAAUUUAAAUAAAAAAGGCUUUAAUUUUAUUUAAGGAAAAUAUUUUUAAAAAGUUUAUUUACACGAAAAUAAAUGUUAUUACAUUUGUAAAAGAAAUAUUUCAUGAGUAUUAAAAAAAUAAUUGAUUUCCUAUUCGAUAGUUUUAAUGAAUUUUAUUUAUAAAAGGAAGUUUUGAUUAAUUUAAAUAAAAAAAGGCUUUAAUUUCAUUUAAGGAAAAUACUUUUAAAAGUUUAUUUACAAAAAAAUACCAUAAUUCUAUUUUAUUUACAAAGGAAAAAAAAUUCAUAGGAAAGAAAUGAACAAAAAUAAUAAUAAUGAUAAAUUUUAUCUAUAAUUAUAAUAAUAAUAAUAAUAAUAAUAAUAAUAAUAAUAAAACCUCAUAAAAAAAGAAAAGAAAAUUAUCUCACCAUUUUUAAAAAUAUUUUAUAAAUGUGAAAAAAAUAUAUUUUAUAAUUUUAUUUAAAUUGUGUACGAUAUUUAGAAAGAGAUAGGAUUGUAAAGUAUUGGAAUAGGAUUUUUUUUUUUAAAUAGGAAAAUCUUUCGUGGAGGAUGAUUGGCUAUUGUGCGUCACCAUUGUUUUCAUUUUUUUUUUUUUUUUAAUGUAAUUUCCGGGGACUCAUUAGAAUAUGACCACAUAUGGAACCGUACUAGCGGGAAGGCCGACAUCCUCAAGCCUAGGGUGUACUUCCUUCGCCAAGGAGCGAUUUAGAUUAAGCCUUGGCACACGCCAGCCAUGGAAGGAGAUGGUCCAACUCCGGUCACUCUCCAUUCCGACCAACGCUACUGGAGCAUUCCAGAAAAUCCAGAACCCACGCUGCCUACUUUCGAAUAAACUACAUCAUCGUCAUUCUCUUCAUCUUCUUCAUCGCGGUAUCCAUUCAGAUCAAGCCUUGGCACACGCCAUCCAUGGAAGGAGAUGGUCCAACUUCGGUCACUCUCCAUUCCGACUAACGCUGCUGAAGCAUUCCAAAAAAUCCAGAACCCAUACUGCUUUCUUUCGAAUAAACUACAUCAUCGUCAUUCUCUUCAUCCUCUUCGCCACGGUAUCCAUACCCAUCCCCAAGUCCUUCACCAUAUACUCCGCAUAACCACUUGGUCUAACCUCUCCAUCAUCUUCUUCCCGAACAACUCCAUCGCUUUUGAUCCUGCACGCACUAACACUCUAUAUUGCGCCUCCAUCUCCACUACCAACCUGCACCAUUAUUCUUCCACUCAGUCGAAACGGCCCAUUGCACCACCCUCAUAAUCUCAUCUCGACACCACCAUGGAUGGUCAUCACCAUCCUCCAUCGGUCAAAGUCAAUCAUCGUUGUCAUACCUGUUGUGCACCAAUGUUCUCCUUCACCACUCUCAUCUUCACAACUCGCCACUUCCUUUUCCUAUCUUUAUUCUCGUCAACAUCACAAAAUCAUUCAUUUUCACCCUUUAGCCUCGUGCAAAUGCCCACAACAUAUCAUGCUCGCUUCAAUUCCGUCAUAAUCGAUAGCAUAAUUCCCAUCAUAGCCGGCCAUGAUCUCAUUCCAUUCAUUUACUCAUAUAAAUAAGAAAAAAUAAAAAAAUAAAAAAUAAAACAUACGAAGGACAUCAUUCAAAUCAUAGAAGACCAUAUAUUCACAUUCGUUUGCAUUUUGAAUCAAACAAAACAUUGUCGAAGAACACUAACCUUGCCUGAAGAAUGGUGUGGCAUGAUGAAGAUCCUUCCUCUUCUCAAUGGUGCGGUUCCUCUGGAAAAUCUCUUGAUGAUGAGGUUGCCUCUUCUCAAUCGUCCAUCUUCCCUCUUCUAUCCACUUUUUUCACUUUGUGCAGCUGUUCUAAAAAAAGAUCUCUCCAGCACACUUGCCAUCCUUCGCUACUCUUUCCGCUCAUUUUUCUUUCUUUUUUAGUGCUUUUCACAACCAUGGUAAUGGAAGGAACAACAGAAACAAUCCACCUUCCCCCUUUCGGAUCACCUUCCCUUUUAUCGUGUCUCUCUUUCAUUUUCUUUCUUAAUCCAUUCUCCAUCAUCUAGUUAGCUUAUCUGCAGCCACGGUGAUGGAAAAAAAAAUGGCAGAAAAGGUUUCCUUCUCCUCUUUCAAUUACUCUCCAUCCCCUCAAAUUUUCCUUUUUUUUCUUUGCUUUUCCUUUUCUCUCUUCUUCUCUUUCUUAAUUUUUUUCUUUUUAUAGGGCACGUGGGAUCCAUGCAAAACAAAUAAUAAAUAAAUAAAUAAAAAGAGAUAGGAAAAUAAAAAUACCAAUAAAAGAAAAUAAAGAUUAGAAUAAUAAAAAAAAACUUAUAACUAAAAAUUAAAAAUCCAUAAUAUGCAAUUUUAAAGGAAAUUAAAAAUAUAGAUCACAUGCAAAACUAAAAUGAAUUAUCAACUCAAACAACUUUCUAUCAAAACAAAUUAAUAAAUGGAUAAAUAAAAACAAAAUGAAUAUGAUUAUUAAGCUCAUGUAAUUUCCUAAAAGUAAAUAAAUAAAUGAACAAAACUAAUAAAUUGGGAGAGAUAAAAAAACAAAAAACAAAAUCAAGCACCUACAAGCCGUACGAGCCAUCUAUCCAUGCAAAAAAUAAUUUGAAUGUGCCUAAGUCUAAACUAGGGCUACCAAGAGUCACAAUGGAGUUAGAUAAUUCCCUCAACCAAAGUCCCCAAGGUGACUUAGAAAAGAUAGGCUACACGAGUAGUAAUGGGCAGCCAGGGAACUGUUGUAAAAUACUAGACAAAUACCUUAUAAGACAUUUGUUAAGAUGACAAAAUGAAGGGUCUACAAAUAUGCUCCUCUUCGGUAGAGAUCACGAGUAUAGGGAAUGUGAGUAAAAAUACAAAUAAUGAGCGAAACGAAGUAAACUAUACUGAAAACCUAAAAGAAAAGGACCAGAGAUUUUGUCCUAGCACAUGACGAGAGAAAGCUCGGAACACGAGGUCAUAAUCACAAAAAUGGAACAACUUUAGGCUGUGAACGCAAGACUCUAUGUAGAGAGAAAUGACUUUGGGUCGUGAGCUCAAGGCUCUACUAAAUAGAAAAUAAAUGACUUUGGGUCGAGAGCUCUGGGCUCUAAAUGGAAAAGAUAUGACUCUAGGUCAUAAAUGAAAAUAAUGGUGGCUCUAAACGCCUACGAAAAUUAUGGCUUUGAAUGCCUAUGAAAAUGAUGGCUCUAAAUACCUAUGGAAAUGGUGGUGGCUCUGAACGCCUAUGAAAAUGGUGGCUUUAAACACCUAUGAAAAUGGUGAGUUUGAACGCCUAUGAAAAUGGUGGCUCUCAACGCCUUUGAAAAUGGUGGCUCUCAACGCCUAUGAAAAUGAUGGCUCUGAAUGCCUAUGAACAUGAUGGUCGUUCUGAACGCCUCUGAAAAUGGUGGCUCUAAACGCCUAUGAAAAUGGUGGCUCUGAAUGCCUAUGAAAAUGGUGGCUUUGAACACUUAUGAAAAUGGUGGCUCUGAAUGCUUAUGAAAAUGGUGGCUCUGAGCGCCUAUGAAAAUGAUGACUUUGAACGCCUAUGAAAAUGGUGGCUUUGAAGGCCUAUGGAAAUGAUGGCUCUGAACGCCUAUGAAAAUGGGGAUGGCUAUUCAGGCUUAUGAAAAUGAGGGUGGCUCGUUCGCCUAUGAAAAUGGUGGCUCUGAACGCUUAGUUGUGAGAGAAUGAUGAGGGGAAAAAUGCCUCAGUGUGGUGUGUCAUCACAAAUCUCGAUCCACUUAAAGGGUCUAAAAGAGACUCCAUGAGUCUCAAAAGAUGCUCUGUCGAUGAGUCAGAAUGUUCAAAUCAACUAUAAAAUAACGUCUCACAAUCCGUCUGACUAAAUCGAGGCCUGACAAAGUGUCCUAAUAAUCUGGAUAUCUCUAACUCGAGAUACCUUGUUGGAGGAAUCUGUCGUCAUAUCAAAGGAACGACCCACUGGCGGGUCUCAAGAAAAAUGGUCCAUUGGGGUAAUUGUCACUACCUCAACAUAAUGAUCGAUUGAAAAGUCAUAGGUAAUGAGACAGUCAAAACCUAAAGGUCGGGCUCCUUUGAAGACUCAUCUUGGCAUAAAUCAUCGAUAUUGUAACCAAUAAUGCGAAUAAAUAUCCCUCGGCUGAAUAAAGAAAACGGUAAUAGCUCCGUGAGAAGACGAUCAUCUCCACAACAGAAAAGGGGAAUAUGCCCCAGUAUAGCAACUGAUGCAUCUUGCCAUGUGGGUAACCGAGGAAAAUAUGCCCCAGUAUAGCAACUAGUACAUCUGGUCUGUCCUGAUGACUCGAGAAUAACUUAAUGGGGAUGUAUAAGAGAUCUGACAUGUGCUCCACUGAAAUGAUGAUAUGGGAGUCUAUGCACUUGAGACAACUCCAUCAAAGAAUCACGACAAUAUCAGAAAGUAUGAGCUUGGCUGAAUGACUCAAGAAAGACUUCACUAGGGAAUAAUCGUAAAAUAAAAUAAAAUCAUCAACUCGACAUGUAUCUCAUAAAUGAGGAUAAUCAUGCAAAUCAAUGUAGAUUUACAAAUCUCAAUCAAAACGAAAAUAUGCCCUAGUAUGGCACAGAUGUGUGGUAGGUCGAAAAAAAAAAAAAAAGAUGACUCCGAAUCAUCCAUCACCAAGUGUGUAAUCCUAGUCAUCCAUGUCCAUAGGUGAAUCAGAUCCACAUAUCAAAAGGUGUCUCUCAGAAGAAGAAGCAUAAGAACAUCUAAAUAUAAAAAAGUGUGGGCAUGAUUGAAUGGCCUAAAAGAGGCCCCACUAGGGGAUCAUGAUAAGUUAACAAACAGGUCAUCGUCUUGGUGUGUAUCUCGUAAGUGGAGAUUAUCAUGCAACUCCAUGAAGAUCUAUAAAUCUUAAUCGAAAGGGAAAUAUGCCUCAGUAUGGCAUAUGAUGUAUGGUAGAUCAAAAAAAUUAGACGACAUCGGAUCAUCCAUCAUCAAAUAUGCAAUCUCAAUCAUCCAUAUCCACAAUUGAAUCGAGUCCAUUCAUCAGAGAAAUGUCUCCCGGAAGAAGAAGCAUGAUGAUAUCUAAAUAUCAACCAAAUCUCAAACACCUGUCCAAGUAGAGGCUGUCGAAGACGACAUUUGAUCUCAUGGCCUCAGGGUGGUCUUAAAACACGGGACGUAAAUUAGGCUAGGGCGAUACGGUAAUAGAAAUGAAGGGAAACUAGGCCCAAAUACCCAAUAAUAAAAAACCCAUGCCCUUGUGUAUAAAAUGCGACAUGUAUAAAAUAACUCAUGAGCCAUGAACCGAGGUAACCAAGGGAAAUGUCAUGGAACAAGAAAAAAUGAUAAGUAUUCAAACUAUCAAUGAAAUGUGUGAAUGAUGUGUAGAAAGUAUCGAACCAGAAAUGUGUCAAUAUGAGGAAAUGGAUAAAAGGUGUAAGGCAGAUCUGGAAGGAGGUGAUGGGAUACAAAAUAAAGCAAUGAGAAAGUAGAAUGAAUGAUGAUCAACCCAUAUCAGUACAAUAAAGGAAAGUCAUAUCACCAAUGAUGGAAUGGUGGGUGAGACGAUGAUCUGGAGACCCUAGUAAAAGGUCACUCAUCUCUCAUAUGUUACUCAUCUCUCAUACCUAAUACAUAUCAACCUUGAUCCAAGAAGCAUAGGAUCUCAUAGAACUCUCACAUGAACCUUCGACACUCCGAAUGCAUAAUGAAAGUGACUCAAAGAGAGAAAUGUCCUCAUGGAAAACUCGCGCAAACCCUUAAUGAUAAACUCGAUAAACCCUUAAAUAACAACACAUGCUCAAUGGAGUAGGAUGCCAAGUACAAACAUAUCAUUGCACUUUUUUUUUUUUUUUUUGUGGCCAUACCCUAGUCAUCAAUAAAUCUUACUCCAAUGAGAAACUAAAAGGAAUGAAUAAACUCCCUCAAAUUACUAACGAACACAUGAAACCACAUCCUAUGAGAUAAACCCUCAAGCUAAAAUCUCUAAGUCAAUGUAAAAUGAUGGAAUGAAAGGGGUGAUAUGACUACCCUCUAUACAUUAAUAUGUGAAGAAUCAACAUUCCAAGUGAAGAAAGUAUGAAGUGUAACGACCAGUAAUGAAAUCCAAGAUAGAGAUGAAAAUGUGAAAAUAUUGGAACGUAACAGAUGGGGUGGUGAGGUGAUAAUAGAAAAGAUGAGAAAGAUAAGCCUAAAAGUCAAAAGCUCAUGAGACUCUCCUAGCAAAGCAUAACUAUACAUUAAAGGGCCCCAACCCGGGUGUAGAAAUGAUAAGCAAGGUUAUAGAAAAGAAAAGGUUAUAGCAUACCACGUGAGGCUCAAUGGGCUUGCAACGGUCUAAUAUACUAAUAAAUGUGAUAAGGUGUAAGGCUGAUCGAAAUGAUGGCCACCCAUCCUACGACCAUAAUCUCAAAUGUAAUACUUCUUUAGCUAAUCCACAUUGAUGGGCUCUGAAAACUGGUUUUCAUCUAAGUCGGUCAACCAUGCAACCCCUUCUGAAGUCAACUCUCAAAUAACAUAAGGCCCACUCCAACUAGGUCUGAACUUCCCUCUAGGGUCUCUAACUAAGCCUCUAAGAAUCCUCAAAACCAAAUUCCUUUUCUAUAAUGGUCUAGGCUUAACCUGUUUCCUAAAAGCACGUGCCAUCUUUCUUUGAUAGGCCUGAACAUGAUCCGCUGCUCUCAAUCUCUUCUCAUCUAAAAGGUUAAGCUAAUCAAAUCUAGCUUGAGCCCACUCUGUCUCAGAAAUCUGCUGCUCGAGAGCUACUUUCAAUGAACUCAUCUCUGUCUCAACUGGCAAAAUAGCCUCCAUACCAUAUACCAAAUAAUAAGGCAUAGCUCCUGUAGGGUGCGAAAAGAGGUACGAUAUGCCCACAAUGCAAAAUGGAGUUUCUCUAACCAAUCUCGAGAGGUUUCAACCAUCUUCCUCAAAAUCUUCUUAAUGUUUUAAUUUGCGGCUUCUGCUUUCCCAUUAGUUUGUGGCCUAUAUGCAAAAGAUCUAUGAUGUCGGAUGCCAAAUUUCUGUAACAAAGUGUGAACCUCAGCUUGAAAGUGUACUCUUCUGUAAGAAAAUCAACUCAUGUGGCACCCCAUAGCGACAAAUAAUGUGUGAUAUGAUGAAACUGGCAACUCUAGCAGAUGUCAACCUCGUAUAUGAUGCAGCUUCCACCCACUUGGUGAAAUAAUCUAUGGCAACUAGGAUAAACUCAUGACCACUAGAAGAUUUUAGUGAAAUCUUCCCAAUAAUAUCAAUACGCCGUACUGAAAACGACCAUGGUGAGGUCAAAACGUGUAACUUUGAUGGUGGUGCAUGAAUAAGAUCACCAUGAAUCUGACACUUUGGACAUCUCUGAACAAACUAAUAACAAUCUGUCCCCAUAGUCAUCCAAAAGCAACAUGUCCUCAUAAUCUUACGGGCUAGCAUGUGUCCUCCCAUGUGUAGGCCACAAACUCCCGCAUGAACCUCUCUCAUCACUCGAUCUGUAGAGGCUCGAUCUAAACAUAAUAAAUACAUACCAUCAGUUGAUCGCCUUUAUAGAGUCUCUUUGCAAAUCACAAAUCUAGUGGCCAUCUACCUCAAUGCCCUUCGAUCUUUGGCUAUGACGGCCUCUGGGUAUGUGUUAGAUCUAAGAAAUCGAUAUAUGUCAUGAUAUCAUCUUGGACUUUUGUCUCUCCAAUAAGACAAUAGUAAGUGGGUGACCACCUCGACUCAAUCAACAAUGGACGUAUAAUCACAUCGGUCGGAAUGUCCACGGAAGAAGCUAAGGUAGCUAAGGCAUCAACAAACCGGUUUUGUGCUCUAGGUAGACGAGUGUAUCUUAAAUCAUCAAAUCUCCUAACCAGUAACUCUAAAUAAGCAUGAUACGAUCUAAGAUUUACGUCCCUGGUUCUCCAAUCACCUUGAAUCUGUCUGAGUACCAAAUUAGAGUCACUGAAUACCUCCAUCUGUCUAAUGCCAAGCUCCAAUGCAGUCUCUAGACCAAGGAUACAAGCUUCAUACUCAACUAUGUUGUUCGCGACGGGAUGUUGAUUUGAAAACGCAAAGCGAACUAACCUCGGAAUAUGAUCACCUUGGGGGGAUAUCAACAAAACGCCUAUCCCAAACCCUGAUUGGUUGGUUGCACCAUCAAAGUACAUGCGCCAACCUGAUAAGCUAGUCAUAGGAAUGAACUCGUCAUCUAGGAAAACAUCAUCAACUGGUCUACCCUUAGAUAUCAGUAAUAAGGCUAAGUGAUCGACGACAAUGCUUUCCUUGAUAGACUUCUGAGAAACAUACUGAAUAUCAAACUCUGUCAAAAGUAUGAGCCAUCUCAUCAAUCUACCAGUCAAUGCAGGUCUGUCAAACAAAUACCUCAAUGGAUCUAGUCGAGAAAUCAAACACACUGAAUACUCAGUCAGGUAAUGCCUCAAUCUCCUGGUGGUCCAAACUAAUGCUAAGCAGAGGCGCUCAAUCAUAACAUAUCUCAUCUCAUACUCUAGUAUUCUCUUACUCAGAUAGUAAAUAGCUCGCUCCCUCCCUGAAUCAUUAAGCUGAGCUAGCAUACAUCCCAAGGUCAUGUCUGAAACUUACAAAUACAAAAUAAGUGGGCAUCCAGGCAUAGGAGGCACUAAAAUAGGAGGAGAAAGCAAGUAGUCCUUGAUCUUCUCGAAUGCAAUCUGGUAAUCAUCAUUCUAAAUUGUUGGUUGAUUCUUUAUCAAAAGAUGAAAAAUGGGCUCACAUAUGUUUGUCAAUCUGGCUAUGAAACGACUAAUGUACUAUAACCUGCCCAAAAAACCCUUGAUCUCUUUCUCAGUCCUUGACAUAGGCAUGUCAAGUAUGGCUUUGAUCUUAUCUGGGUCAACCUCUAUACCCCACUCACUGACCAUAUGCCCCAACAAUUUCCCAGAAGUCACUCCAAAGGUGCAUUUUUUGGGGUUUACCCUCAACCUGAAUUUUUGAAUCCCCUUAAAGAAUCCCUCUAGAGCCAUUAGGUGAUAUGCUUAACCUCGGGAUUUCACAAUCAUAUCAUCCACAUAAACUUCCACAUCCCUAUGUAUCAUGUCAUGAAACAAAGUGGUAGCGGCUCUCUGAUAAGUAGCUCAUACUUUCUUCAACCCAAAUGGCAUAACUCUAUAACAGUAGCUACCCCACUCGGUAAUGAAGGUUGUCUUCUCCAUCCAUGAAAGACAACAGCGAAUAGCCUACAGUGCUAUCGACCAACAAAUAGAUAUGUGGGAGAGGAAAAUCAUCCUUAGGGCUGGCUUUAUUAAGGUCUUUGAAAUCGACACAAACUCUAACCUUGCCAUCCUUUUUGGGAAUUGGGACGACAUUAGCCAACCACUCUGGAUACUCAACCAUUGAUAUAAAUCCAACAUUGAGUUGUUUCUGAAUUUCCUCUUUCACCUAUAGACUCCAACGUGGGUGCAAUCGCCUCAGUUUCUACUUAACGAGUCUUACAUGUGGUAAGAUAGGCAGAUGGUGCUGGACUAUAGAGGGAUCCAAACCUGGCAUGUCCUCAUAAGACCACACAAAAACAUCCAAGUAUGACCUGAGUAAAUGAAUAAGUCUAUCCCUCUCAUCUAUAAACAGAGGUGAACAAUCUUUAGCUCUCUAGGUUGAUCCUUUGUGCCAAAAUCAAUAGUCUUAACAUCCCUUGUAGCAGGUGAGACUUUCUCAUCUAUAGGAUCUGAGUCAUGAUAAGAAGAGUCUCUAUUUGAAUUAGGUUUCACGAUCUCAUCAUCUAUAUCAAGUAUUUGUGGAGUGGGUGAGUGGGGUGCAGAUAAACAAAUACUAUCACAAAAGACAGGCAAAUACUCGAAAAAUACUCAAAUCUAUAGAUACGAAAUCAUAAACAUUGUCUGAGUGGGAAAUGAAUCCCAAUAAAAUGUCAAAUGAAAGAGGUGGGUUCACAAAGUUGGACGUUCCCUCAAUAAAUCCAAAAGUGUCCUCAAACUCAUCAUCACUAACUGUAACAUCCUCUAUAAGCUCUGGAGCAAGAACUGUCUGGAUAUCCUCAACAAUCUCGAUAGCAGACACCCCAAACAAAUCGAAUGAUGAAGCAGGCUCAUGUUGAACCAUCUUGGCAAUCUGACUCAUACUCAUGUCCAUCUCAUCUCAAUACUCGUCAUGAGGAACAACUCCAUCAGUCACCCCAAUAGGCUCAAUGUUUACUCCAUAAUUAGUAGUCUCAUUUGGAAAGCACAAUGAUAAGAAGCUGGCUCGAUCUGGUGAUGAAGGAGCAAUCAUCACUGAAACUAGUGCGUCAAAAGUCUCAUCUCCUAACUGUAAAUGGUGAAAUUGAUGUUGAAGCUCAUCCACUCCCUCUAUAUUAGUCACAUCGCUAAAAUCCCCCAUAUGAGGAUGAACCUCUGAUCCUCUGAUGUAGUAAUCUGCCAAGCUCAUCCUAUAAGAUGAACAGGAUAAUCAAAUGAUGUGCAAGUUUAACGGGCUCUCACUCUCUCUUGGUGCAAAUGCGCCAUAUACCUAUAGUUAGCCUCUAUAGGAACAAACCCAAGCCCAAAUGGUGUAUCAUGAUGGACAGUAGCCACAAACUCCAUAGGCUUGUGCUGACGUCAUCCCAACCCCGAACUAGGUAUAAAAGACAUACCCCUCAUCAUGUCGAGUACCACCAUACUACUAUGUUGAUCAAAUGACAUAGUUACGAGAUCUCUGCAGAAGUCCCCAACCUCAAGAGUCUGCACCUUAUCAAAUGUAAACCCGAUAAAAAAUAGGUCAUCCUUACUAUGAUUGAUCUGAAGCAUCGGCUCGGAGGAGGCAAACAUAUCUUUAGGAAACUGUACUACGAUGACUUGCCUAUCAUGUAUAAACUUCACCUUCUAAUGAAGGGGAGAUGGAAUAGCCCCGACCCUAUGAAUCCAAGGUCAGCCCAAAAGUAGGUUAAAGGAUGUGGGAAUCCUCAAAACCUGGAAUAAUUUAGGGAAUGUAGUCAGACCAAUCAACAACUCUAUCAUCAAAGUACCCAUGACCUCACUCUUAGUACUGUCAUAUGCUCUAACCGUCUGUGUAGAGGGACCAAAGUCUAAAGGUGCAUAGCCAAGGGCGAUAGCAGUAGCCAAUGGGCAGACGUUCAAGGCUGAGCCAUUGUCCAACGGGACAGAUGGAACUUUGUGGCCUGAACAACCAACUGUAAUAUAUAGAGGGCGUGCAUGGUUUGAAUCCUCUGGUGGCAAGUCAUCAUCUGAAAACACAAUACAUGUGGCCUUGUCGGCCGUCAUCAUAUGAAUCAACCCCUCCGGGGUAGUGGUGGUCUCCACGAGAAUCUGGCUCAAAGCUCGAAUCAAUGCAUCUCUAUGAGCACUAGAAGAUGCUAGCAAACUCCAUAUAGAUAUGCAGGCCUGUGUACUCUGUAACUGCCUCAGUAUCUCAUCAUCCUCUCUCCUGACCUCCUCAUGAGAGACAACACCAUCAAAUGGACUGGCUACUAGAGGUGAGGCCUGAUCUACUCUCCCACUAUGGGUUAUAAUUUGUACAUCUCUCCCCUCUAAAUCGUCAUCAUCUGGCUGUAGGAUAAAUGAGACGAAUGGGCCCUGACGUGUCGUAGCCAACGGUGCAGUAGGAGUCAACUCAAACGGUACCCAAUCUGAAAUCAAACUGAAUGGAGUAGAAGUUUGAGAACCCACUGUGUCAACCUCAUAACCAUCAUCUAAAAAAAUCGGCUCUGGAGAUCCAUCAUCCCAACUCAUCAUGUGUAUGCUGUCAUCUUCUAAAAAAUCUAUGUGAUGGAUACCGCUCGGGAGUGGUGGCAUUACAUGCGUAGAGUGAGCUGGUAGAGGGUUCGUGGUUAGACUUGGUUGCCCCAAGUUAACCAAACCCUGGUCUAUCAAGUCUUGCAUAGCACGUCUUAGAGUUGAGCAGCAAUCAGUGUCAUGUCUUGGACUCUGAUGGUAAGCAUAGUGAACGUCCAUCUUGAACUGAGGUGGCACGGACUGGGGUACAGGCCUAGGAGCUAACUGAGUCAUCAAACUACCCUCCAUGAGCUUUUGGAAAGCUCAAAUCAAGGGCAUACCUAGCUGAGAGAACUAUCGUAUCGGCCUCUGUGCACAAGGAAUAGCAGUCCGUGGAGCUCGGCGCUGAGGGUGUAAGGUAGGAGGUCUCUCUAAGACUUGUGUAGCAAAAUAGGCUUUGGGGUUGGAUGUAGUUAUGUAGGAGUCAUAGGCCUGGGCGGUCUAUACUGAACAUAACGCUGUGGGUAAUAGGCUCCUGAAGUCUGCCCAAAUGUCUGAUAGCGCCUGGGAGAUCUCGAUCCUGCUGAACUGAUAGUACCCACAUCUCCAAGUCUCUAUCCUCUUAAGGGCUUCUUUCCUUUUGAGUCAGAAGGGGAAGACUUGGGCCACAAUCCUCUAGCACUGUCCUCCUCUAUACUGUAUAGAGCCUAUACCAGGGAUCUAAAAUCUGUGUGAGGAAAUCUUAUCAAAUGUCUGGCAAAUUUGGGUUGUAAGAUCCUCAAAAUCAUACUAAUAUGGUCAUUCUAUGAAGGACGAUCAAUAAUCUAUGCAAUAUUCUCCCUCCAUCGAGAGAUAAACGAAGUCACCGACAGCUCCAGUCCCUGUCUUAAGGCCUCUAGCUCUCUCCUUGAGACUAUAAUGACAAUGUUAAAAGCAAACUGUCUCAAAAACUCUUGGGCCAAAUCAUUCCAAGUCCUAUGGCGUGAAGCAUCUAAAGAAGUAAACUAAUGCUAUGCUACACCACUCAAGGACAUGGGAAAAAGCAUAAUCAAGUGGGUCUUAUCCAACCUGUGGGCCCUUAUCACAGUAUUGUAUAGCCUCAAAUGAAUCUUGGGGUAACCUAUGCCCAUAUACCUCUUAAUCUCUGGCAUCCUGAAAUGGGACGGUAAAUUGGCCACCGGUGCUCCAUCAAAGUCAUUCCAACUGAUAGCUCCAUCUAAAACCCUCAUCUGUCUUAUCUUCUGCUCAAGUCUAUCCAUACGAGCAUGUGCAUCCUUUGAGGUUUGAAUGGGUGCUAUGACAAAAAGUGGGGUAGCAUCAAUUUGACUAUGUAAAACAUACGGUGCAGGGUGUGGAACCAACUGACUGAGUGAAGGAGGUGGUGGCGCCGCAGAGUCAUACUGUGCGCUAUCCUAAGGCGGGGCUUGCUACCCAUCUAUCUUUUGGCCGAGGCCGAUUAUAGCCUCCUGAAUCGAAGCCAUGGCUAUGACAAACUGGUCAACAGUGACUACCUGGGAGUCCAUAUCUCUCUGAUCUACUCUCUGGUUUGGCUGAUCUUAUACUCUAGUCUACCUGCCUCUAACUCUAGUCCAUGAAGGUGAAUCCAUACUAGGCACCAAAAUUACUCUUAAAAACACGGAAACAUUAGAUGAGAAGUUGUACAAGGGUAGCUCUAUAGGAACCGACUAAAAGGUAAUCAAGCAUAGAGCCCAUGUAUACUCAAAUUGAUACUCGUAUUUGAUCAUACCAAAAUGAAACUAUGGAGAGGGUUACCAAACCCAAUUGUAACCAAAGCAGCUCUGAAGGUCCACAAAUGCACCCACGUGUAGGAAUGAAAUCCUAAUUGGGUCUAGGUUAACCUACAAGGUUGAGGUGGUUCUAUAAGAUAAAAAUGGGUGAGUUAAAGGAUCCCUAGCAGAAGCGAUCGUACCCUCUACCGAUACGCAACCCUUUGCACGCCUCCAAGGAGACGGGGUGCUUCCAUGCAAGGUGGUCAUCACCUCCACACAUGCACUUCUUCGCGUUCCUAGGGGGUUUCUUAAUGGUCAAGGCUCUCCCAUCUCUCAGCGCUUUGGGAUAAUCUAAGGUGCACGGUGAAGGAUGUGGGUACAUUCGAAACACCUAAGGUCUAAAGUGAGAUAGUGAACAAAGACAAGCAAUCAUGCAAUCAUACAAGAGAGAGGGUUGUCAUGCGACAAGCAAUCAUGCGAAACAGAGAAAUAUCAAACAAUCAAAGUCCUAUGUAACAAAUGUGAGAGUGAAUCAUGCUGAAGUGAGCAAACAAUCAGGUGAUCAUGCAAGAUAAACAAGUAUAAAGACAUGUUAAGAUAGCAAACCAAUCAAGCAAGCAAACCAAAUCACAUUGCCUAAAAAAAGGAGGUACCCUCUAAUCGACCAAUUAAACGCCAUAUUUUCCUCAACUAGUGUUCAAGCUUGAUCCUUAAAAUCCCUAGUGGAGUCGCCAAUUUGUGGACCUGUAUUUUUCAUGUGUUCCUCUACUCGGUCGACGAGACUUGCUUUUAUUUGUGAAAUAUUAUUUUUGAAAAAUUCGGAGUCACCACUUAUUUUAUUUUAAAGGGAAAAUAAAAUAAGAAAUAAAACCCUAAAAAAAAUGACUCCACAUUUUUGGAAAAGCAUGUCUUGAAAAACCCGAGUCUAGGUCCAGGGAUUAGGUUACCUAUUGGGAAAGUACCUCUAAAAGGUAGUACCCCUCUAAGCCCUACAAAGGUCUCUACUGACUAAGUUAAGGGAAAUGUGGCAAUUAAUUUAUUAAUUGAGGAUACCUAGGUAGACUAAGGUGAUUUAAAAAAAAAAAAGCAUGCCAAACAAGAUCAAAUCACAAUAAAGGAGAGUUAGGAUGCAUACCCGAAUCGCUUCUCAAGCGCUAUCAUAAAAUAUCAGAGUUAGUAUAGAUAUAUAACACACGACAUGUAUUCAAUCAUAGCAAAUCAAGCAUACAUCCAAGCACCUAAGGAUCAUAUCAAGCAUAAAUAAGGCUCACAACAACAUGCAUGUUCAUGAAAUCCCGAAAAGUAAAGAUAGAGAGCGUACCUAGAUAGCAUGCAUAAUUGAUAAGAUUCUUCCAAAAAUGUUAGAAUGGUUAGGACAAGUAUAAAUUAUAUAACAUCUCUAUUAUAUCUAAUAUACAGUACCAAAUCCAAAAGUUAACCAAGGUAAGUCAAAUGACUCCAAAAGCAGAUAACAAAUUCAAGCAAGUAUUGAGUCAUCAGCAUGCAUAUAGUAAAGGGAGCAUCACAAAACAAUUGCUAAAAAAAUGCCUUGCAGUGGAAUUUAAUCACAAAAAAUUUCAGAAAGCAACUCCUACAUAUCUAGAACAAGAUACCAAAAUCCAAACACUCAUUCAAAUGACAAAUUGUAGUGAAGACACCCUAAAGUUCCAGAAGGUCCGGAUUAGGUAAAAAGAAAAUAGUGACAUGCAUAAAUGAUUUUUUUAAAGAAUUAUAAGACAUCAAAGAAAUUUGUAAAAAAAAAUAAAAUACAUCAUUCAAGGUGUCUAUAUCACAAGGAAAAUAAAUUAAGGGUCGGGUAGUACUCAAAAAUAUUUUUAAAACACUCAAGCUUAUCAGAUGUCCAGAUUCCAUCAUGCACAGUAGGUACAACUUUGAAAAAUCAUAUCUCCCUCAACAAGGCAUAUUUUUUAAUAUUUUAUGUGUCUAAGAUCAAUUUAAAGAAGCCUAGAAUUGAGGAAAAAUAUUGAAUCAAAUUUAAAAAGUUUUUUGUUAUUUGAUUUUUUCAAAAAGAUCUCGGGUCCAGAACUAGAUGAAAACAGAGCCCCCCUAAAGACUUGUUCAUAUCUUCUAUUCUAGAAUGGCUUUCCAACUCAAAUGAAACUUUAAAUUCAAGUUCAAGAAGUGAGAAAAGUCAUACAAGUUUUGGAAAACUUUUAAAAACAUUCUAAAGUUGCUAAAAUGAAUUUUAAAUCUAAAGGGUCAGUGGCUGAGUGAAAACUGGUAGCAAGGAAGAGUUUUGAAAAAAUUUCUUAUGUAGGGGUUUCACCAAUUCCCCAAUUGAUAUACACAAAUCCAACCUAGAAUCAUCCCACUUGUUUGGGACCACAACCCUGAAUUUGUAUUCCGUUAAAAACCAGGAUUUUUAUUUGAAAACUGAGAAAGAUGCAAACUGAUCAAAACAUGGUUGCAUAUUUUUAAAGAAAAUGGGAUUUUGAUUCUAAAGACUCUAAAUGAAUUAUUUUUAGCACAAGAUUUUCAAAGGUAUCUUUUGAGAAAAGCAUUUGACUUUAAAAUAAAGGGAAUUAGUAUGAAAACAACAAAACAUAAGAAAUGAAAUACCGAUCAAAAUAGAAGAAAAUGAAUUCACAAAGUGAAAUUUUUUACAAUCCGAGUAAACCAAAGUGGUGAGAAUGGAGGCCAAUCUUCACUUUUUUUUUUAUUUUUUAUGACCUAUGAAAAUAAAAGUAAAGAUAAAAUUAUUAUAGCAACCUACCAGAGAUGUUUAGAUCAAGUAAACUAACAUUUUAACAAAUCCAACUUUUAAUUUUCCACCAAAAAUUACAUGCUAACGUUUUAAAAAAUCUAACUUUCAUUCUAUUACUAAGGACUAUGGAAAACAAGUGUCUAAAGAAAUUCUAUCUUUUAAAUGAUCACCAAGAAUAAAUAAAAAAAAUAAAGACUUCAAGAAAAUCUUAAACUAGCAUAGAUAAUCAAGAACUAAUUGUUGGAAUUUUAAAUGCAUCUAAACUUAAGAUAAAUCAAUCAAGCGCUUAGAAAUGAGUUUUAAAAUGAAACUAAUAAUACAGGAUAUUCACAAUUAUCAACUUAGUUUCAAAGAAAUAGUAAACGUCAUCGGGAUCACCAAAACAACAUCUAAUAAUCUAAAGAACAACAUAUAAUGGCAUAGAUCAUAAAAAAACAGUAACUUAUUGCUUAGAAUCGAAUGUAAAUUAACAUGGGUUUUUAAAAUUAACUGCUAAGGAUUCAGGGAAUAAACGAAACAUCAUGGAUCAAUAUAGAAAAGAAUUCAUAGGUAUGCACUAAGGGGACCGAAAGAUUUCAUGAGUGUUGAUUUAAAAAAAAACAGUUGAUUCCUAAUUCAAUAGUUCUAAUGAAUUUUAUUUAUAAAAGAAUGUUUUGAUUAGUUUAAAUAAUAAGAAUAAAAAUGCUUUAAUUUCAUUUAAGGAAAAUACUUUUAAAAAGUUUAUUUACACGAAAAUAAAUGUUAUUACUUUUGUAAAAGAAAUAUUUCAUGAGUAUUAAAAAAAUAAUUGAUUUCCAAUGCAAUAGUUUUAAUGAAUUUUAUUUAUAAAAGGAAGUUUUGAUUAAUUUAAAUAAAAAAAGGCUUUAAUUUCAUUUAAGGAAAAUACUUUUAAAAGUUUAUUUACAAAAAAUACCAUAAUUCUAUUUUAUUUAAAAAGGAAAAAAAAAUUCAUAGGAAAGAAAUCAACAAAAAUAAUCAUAAUAAUAAAUUUUAUCUAUAACAAUAAUAAUAAUAAUAAUAAUAAUAAUAAAACCUCAUAAAAAAAUUAUCUCGCCAUUUUUAAAAAUAUUUUAUAAAUGUGAAAAAAAUAUCUUUUAUAAUUUUAUUUAAAUUGUGUACGAUAUUUAGAAGGAGAUAGGAUUGUAAAGUAUUGGAAUAGGAUUUUUUUUUUUUAAAAAAAGGAAAAUAUUUCAUGGAGGAUGAUUGGAAAAUCUUCAUCUUCUUCGCGAUCAGGCCUUGGCACAUGUCAGCCAUGGAAGGAGAUGGUCCAACUCCGAUCACUCUCCAUUUCGGCUAACUCUGCUGAAGCAUUCCAGAAAAUCCAGAACCCACGCUGCCUACUUUCGGAUAAACUACAUCAUCGUCAUUCUCUUCAUCCUCUUCGCCGUGGUAUCCAUACCCAUCCCCAAGUCCUUCACCAUAUACUCCGCAUAACCACCUGGUCUAACCUCUCCAUCAUCCUCCUCCUGAGCAAUUCCAUUGCUUCCGACCCUGCAUGCCCUAACGCUCUAUAUUGCGCCUCCAUUUCCACUGCCAGCCUGCACCAUUAUUCUUCCACUCUGUCAAAACGGCCCAUUGCACCACCCUCAUAAUCUCAUCCAACAUCAUCAUGGAUGGUCAUCAACAUCCUCCAUCGUUCAAAGUCACUCAUCGUUUCCAUACCUGUUAUGCACCAAUGUUCUCAUUCACCACAUCUUCACAACUCGCCACUUCCUUUUCCUAUCUUUAUUCUUGUCAACAUCACAAAAUCAUUCAUUUUCACCUUGUAGCCGCGCGUAGCCACCCACAACAUCUCGUGGCCGCUUCAAUUCCCUCAUAACAGAUAACAUAAUUCCCAUCAUAGUCGGUUAUGAUCUCAUUCCAUUGAUUUAAUCAUAUAAAUAAAAAAAAUAAAAAAAAAUAAAAAAUAAAACAUGCAAGGACAUCAUUCAAAUCAUAGCGGACCAUAUAUUCACAUUAGUGUGCAUUUUGAAUCCAACAAAAUGAAGUCGAAGAACACUAACCUUGCCUAAAGAAUGGUGCAGCAGGAUGAAGAUCCUUCCUCUUCUCAAUGGUGCGGUUCCUCCGGAAAAUCUCUUGAUGAAGGGAAAAUCUCUUGAUGAAGUGGUUGCCUUUUCUCAAUCGUCCAUCUUCCCUCUUCUAUCCACUUCUUUCACUUCGUGCGGUAGUUUUAAAAAAUAAAAAUAAAAUCUCUCUAGCACAUUGGCCAUCCUUCACUACUCUCUAUCCUCAUUUUUCUUUCUUUUUUAGUGCUUUUCACAACCACAGUAAUGGAAGGAACAACAGAAAUAGUCCACCUUCUCCCUUUCGGAUCAUCCUCCCUUUAAUUGUGCCUCCUUUUCCUUUUCUUUCUUAAUCUAUUCUCCAUCAUCUAGUCAACUUCUCUACAGCCACGGUGGGAAAAAAAACGGCAGAAAAGGUUUCCUUCUCCUCUUCCAAUUACCCUCCAUCCCCUCCAAUUUUCCUUUUUUUUCUUUGCCUUUCCUUUUCUCUCUUCUUCUCUUUCUUAAUCUUUUCUUAUUAUAGGCACGUGGGAUCCAUGCAAAACAAAUAAUAAAUAAAUAAAAAAUAGGAAAAUAAAAAUACAAAUAAAAGAAAAUAAAGAUUAGAAUAAUAAUAAAUAAAAAACGUGUAACUAAGAAUUAAAAAUCCAAAAUAUGCAAUUUUAAACGAAAUUAAAAAUAUAGAUCACAUGCAAAACUAAAAUGAAUCAUCAACUCAAGCGACUUUUUAUCAAAACAAAUUAUUAAAUAGAUAAAGAAAAAAAAUAAAUAUGAUUAUUAAGUUCAUGCAAUUUCCUAAAAAUAAAUAAAUAAAUAUAUGAAUAAACUAAUAAAUUGGGAGAAAUAAAAAACAAAAAAACAAAAUCAAGCACUUGCAAGCCGUACGAACCAUGCAACCAUGCAAGCCAUACAAAAAAUAAUAUGAACUUUCCUAAGGUGCCUAAGUGGGCCUAGGGUGGUGCUUAAUGGGCCUAAGAUGCCUAAGUGGGCCUGAGGUGUUUAAGUGAUCAUAAGGUGCCUAAGUGGGCCUAGUGUGCCUAAAUGGGUCUAAGUCUAAACUAGGGCUUCCAAGAAUCACAAUGGAGUUAGAUAAAUCCCUUAACCAAAGUCCCCAAGGUGGCUUAGAAAAGAUAGACUACAUGAGUAGUAAUGGGCUGCCAUGGAACUAUUGCAAAAUAUGGGACAAAUACCUUAUAGGACAUGUGAUAAGAGGACAAAAUGGAGGGUUUACAAGCAUAUGCCCUUAAAAUGGAGUGAUUAAGGGCUACAAGUAGUCAUGCUUGAUUCUUCUUCAAAAUUGUUAAACCUCCUCUGAAGUUGUGAUGAUUUUAGCUCGACAAGUAAAAAAUUAGCACUUACAAGAUUAUGUUUGACUUUGUCAUAUUGCUCAAUACAAGUUUAACAUGUGUCAUAUCCUUCGUCAAACUCAUUGGAGAACAUUUUAAAUUGUCCUAGAUUUUAGAGUUUUUUUAGGUAUCUUUUUGUAUGUCCCCGAAGAGACCAAUAUUUAUGGGUGGAGUUUGGAUACCUUAUUUGGCAUCCUAAGAUUUGAUUUUAUAGAUUCUAAAAAUUUAAUUCAUUGAUUGCAUUACUUUUUCUUUUCUUAGAUGACAUUUUACUAAGCCAACAAGAGAAUACAUCCUCUUUCUUGUAAUUUGAUUUGAUUUUAUUUUGCAAGGCAAUUUUCAUUUUUAUGUAUAGUUUCACAAAAUGAUACAAAGGUGCUUCUAUAGCCUAGUGAUGGUCAUUGAUUUUAUGGCUUAACAAAAUUAUGGAUAUUGAAAAUUAUGGAUAGGCAAGUGGUAUUUCACCUUAUAAUGUCAAUCUCUUAAUUAUUGUAUGAAUAAUUUUGCUUUAGGAUAGUCUUUCAUAAAUUUAAAGAGCUUUUGAUAUAGUAUUGAAGAAAAAUUGCAUUGACAUGGAACAAAAUCAUAUAAGGUGAACUAAAGGGGUUUAAAAGUAAAAUAUGGAAUUCUUUUAUUUAUUAACUUAUUAAAUUUUUAUCUUUUACUAAGAAAGAGAAUAAAUUGGAGAAUGUUUAAGAAAAAACAAAGUUCAAAUUUUAAUUUUAAUUUUCAAUUUUUUGUUACCUUCUAAAAUUUUCUUUUAUUUUUUAUUUUAAUCUUUUAGUCCAUUCAAUUUGAGAUAGCUAGAUAAAUAUACUAUCAUCAUAAUCAUAUAUGUAUAUUUAGGUUGUUUGUUAUUGGGACUUUUACUAAAUUAGUAUACUUAACACACUUAAGAUCUAGCGUUUCUUUACAAUGGUCUUAUAUAUUAGGUAAAAAAAUUUAUUUUAUAUAAAUCUUUUUCAAGAAGUAUUUGCAAAAUGUCUUGCAUGAAAAAAGAUUCCAAGAACUCAAUAUUCUUGUUAAAAGAAUUUAUAAAUACACAAUCUUGUAACUUAAAUUAAUCAGAUAAAGUUACCACUUAAAUUAAUCAGAUAAGCUUUGUAAAAGUUGAACAAAAAGCAAGUCUUACUUUUUUAGAAAAGUAAAGUUGAAUUGUGGAUGUCUCAAUCCACUAGCUUGACUUCAAAAGCUAAGAUGCAAUGGUGCUUUAUGCCCUUAAGAUCAUGAGAUAUUUUAAUUUAUUACUUAUGAAUUAAAGAAUUAGGUAGACUUAUAAAAAGGUAAAGACUAAUAUAGUUAUAUGAUUGUUAAAAAGUAAAUAGAAAAAAAAAAAAAAGAAGAAGAAGAAGAAGAAGAAAGAUAUCAUAAUCUCUCUUUCUUAUUCUUUGCUUCGUUAACACGUCUCUGGUUGAUUGGCUUGGGCUCUAAAUCAUUUAAAAUCUAAUGAUUUUGCAAAAAAAAAAAAAAGAAAAAAAAAAGAAAAGGAAAAAAUAAGUGACCUUAAAAGCAAAUACGACUAUAGUUCUAAAAUUUUAUUUCCAAAAUAUAUCUUCUUGUGAGGAUACAAAAUUGACUCUUAAGAAUUAAUGUAGUUUCAUAUUAAGUGUAUCCAUGUCCAAUAUAUUUUUUUUCUUUCUAAAUAAUGCAUUGUUUUUUAUAUUAAAAAGAAAAAAAAACCUUUUAAUGUCAAUCUCUUAUUUUAUAAAUAAUUUUACUUUACAACAUAAUACUAUAAAUUUAAAAAACCUCUAAUUUAAUAUUGAAGAAAAAUUGCAUUUGCAUGUACACAAUCAUGUACACACUUAAGAUCAAGCAUUUCUUUACAAUGGUCUUAUAUAUUCGGUAAAAAAAAACUUUAUUUUAUAUAAAUCUUUUUCAAGAGGUAUUUUCUAAAUGUCUUGCAUAAAAAAUACUCCAAGAACUCAAUUCUCUUGUUAAAAGAAUUUAUAAAUACACAAUCUUGUAACUUAAAUUAAUCAGACAAAGUUACCACUUUAUAUAGGUUAUAAUAAGACUCAGCAUUUCAUGAUAAGGGAAAAUUUUAAAAAAUUGUCAGUGGUUGGGCAAAAUAAAUUUAAAACUUUAUGAAUAAUAAGGUUUGUAAAAGUUGAACAAAAAGCAAAUCUUACUUUUUUAGAAAAGUAAAGUUGAAUUGUGGAUGUCUCAAUCCACUAGCUUGACUUCAAAAGCUAAGAGGCAAUGGUGCUUUAUGCCCUUGAGAUCAUGAGAUGUUUUAAUUUAUUACUUAUGAAUUAAAGAAUUAGGUAGACUUAUAAAAAGGUAAAGACUAAUAUAGUUAUAUGAUUGUUAAAAAGUAAAUAAAAAAGAAAAAGAAAAAAGAUAUCAUAAUCUCUCUUUCUUAUUCUUUGCUUGGUGGACAUGCUCUCCUAGCUGAUUUGGCUUGGGCUGCUAAAUCAUUUCAAAAUCUAAUCGAUUUUUGCUUCGAAAAAAAAAAAAAAAAANNNNNNNNNNNNNNNNNNNNNNNNNNNNNNNNNNNNNNNNNNNNNNNNNNNNNNNNNNNNNNNNNNNNNNNNNNNNNNNNNNNNNNNNNNNNNNNNNNNNCUUAGGAAUUAAAGAAUUAGGUGAGACUUAUAAAAAGGUAAAGACUAAUAUAGUUAUAUGAUUGUUAAAAAGUAAAUAAAAAAGAAAAAGAAAAAAGAUAUCAUAAUCUCUCUUUCUUAUUCUUUGCUUGGUGGACAUGUCCCUAGUUGAUUGGCUUGGGCUCUAAAUCAUUUAAAAUCUAAUGAUUUUGCCCAAAAAAAAAAAAAAAAAAGAAAAAAAACAAAAGAAAAAAGAAAAAAAAAAGUGACCUUAAAAACAAAUACGACUAUAGUUCUAAAAUUUUAUUUCCAAAAUAUAUCUUCUUGUGAGGAUACAAAUUUGACUCUUAAGAAUUAAUGUAGUUUCAUAUUAAGUGUAUCCAUGUCCAAGAUUUUUUUUUUCUUUCUAAAUAAUGCAUUGUUUUUUAUAUUAAAAAGAAAAAAAUACCUUUUAAUAUCAAUCUCUUAUUUUAUAAAUAAUUUUACUUUACAACAUAAUACUAUAAAUUUAAAAAACUUCUAAUUUAAUAUUGAAGAAAAAUUGCAUUUGCAUGUACACAAUCAUGUACACACUUAAGAUCUAGCAUUUCUUUACAAUGGUCUUAUAUAUUCGGUAAAAAAAUUUAUUUUAUAUAAAUCUUUUUCAAGAAGUAUUUUAUAAAAUGUCUUGUGUAAAAAAAAAACUCCAAGAACUCAAUACUCUUGUUAAAACAAUUUAUAAAUACACAAUCUUGUAACUUGAAUUAAUCAGAUAAAGUUACCACUUUAUAUAGGUUAUAAUAAGACUCAACAUUUCAUGAUAAGGGAGAAUUUUUAAAAAUUGUCUGUGGUUGGGCAAAAGAAAUUUAAAACUUUAUGAAUAAUAAGGUUUGUAAAAUUUGAACAAAAAGCAAGUCUUACUUUUUUAGAAAAGUAAAGUUGAAUUGUGGAUGUCUCAAUCCACUAGCUUGACUUCAAAAGCUAAGAUGCAAUGGUGCUUUAUGCCCUUGAGAUCAUGAGAUGUUUUAAUUUAUUACUUAUGAAUUAAAGAAUUAGGUAGACUUAUAAAAAUUAAGGUAAAGACUAAUAUAGUUAUAUGAUUGUUAAAAAAUAAAUAAAAAAAAAGAAGGAAAAAGAUAUCAUAAUCUCUCUUUCUUAUUCUUUGCUUGGUGGACACGUCCCUAGCUGAUUGGCUUGGGCUCUAAAUCAUUUAAAAUCUAAUGAUUUUGCAAAAAAAAAAAAAAGAAAAGAAAAAUAAAAGUGACCUUAAAUGCAAAUAUGACUAUAGUUCUAAAGUUUUAUUUCCAAAAUAUAUUUUCUUGUGAGGAUACAAAAUUGACUCCUAAGAAUUAAUGUAGUUUCAUAUAAAGUGUAUCUAUGUCCAAGAUUCUUUUAUUUAUUUAUCUAUUUUUAUUUGUUUCUAAAUAAUGCAUUGUUUUUUAUAUUAAAAAGAAAAAAAAAACCUUUUAAUGUCUAUCUCUUAUUUUAUAAAUAAUUUUACUUUACAACAUAAUACUAUAAAUUUAAAAAACCUCUAAUUUAAUAUUGAAGAAAAAUUGCAUUUGCAUGUACACAAUCAUAUAAUAUAAAUCAAGAGGAUAAAUAAGAAGUAAAUACCAAAGACAUGAGCAUAAGAAAAGGUGAAGAUGUAUAUAAAUUAAUAAAAUGUUUAAUGGUGAUUAUUAUAUGAUCGUGUCCUUUAAACAUUAUUAAUUUUUAAUGGAAUCAUACCAUUUUUCUUUUUUUUGUAUAAAGGUAAAAACAAACAUUGAAUUUUGUAAAAAAAUAUUUUUCAAGAAGCAUUUGCAAACAUUUUUGCAUGUAAAAAAAUUCUAGAUGUUAACACUUUUGCAACUUAUAUUAAUUAGAUAAUUACCAACAUGUAUGUUAGACUUGACAAUUUAAGUAAUAAAAAUUUAUGCUUGAUAAUGCAAAUUAACACCAAGUACCAUGGAAAAAUAAAGGAAAAAUGAGUGUCUCUCGUGUUUGUAGGUGAUAAAUAGUUAUUAAAUAAACAACAAUAUUUAUAUUUUUUUUAAUUUUCAUAAAUUUUCAUUUCAUGAUAGUAGAAUGCAUAUCAUCCUACCAGAUAAAAUAAAUGUAAAAUUAGGGAAAGAUUAACAAGCAAAGUUGAAAUGAAGUAAUAUAUAAGUCUUGCUUUACAUGUAGUGGCCUUCUCUUUAAUAUAUUUUGUGCUUAAUAUGCCAUUGAGUUCAUGAGAUGUUUCAAUUAAUUAUCUAUGAAUUAAAGUGUGGGGGAAGAGAAAGACUAAUAUGCUUAUUGGAAACAUAAACGUACUUUAGACAAUUAUCUUCUUUUUUUUUUUUCUUUUUUCCUCUUUCACAUAAGGUAGUGGUGUUUACUCAUAAAUUUUUCCAUGUUCUUUAGUAGGUAGAGAUAUUUUUAAGUCAAGUUAAUUGAUAUUAAAAACAUAGACCUUGGUCAAUUAUCCCUUUUCUUCUCUUUCACAUAAGGUAAGGGCGUACAUUGAUAUUUCUAUGUCUUUUGCAAAGGAUUAUACUUAAGCGGUAAUCUUUUAAGUUAUGAUAAUUAAACUUAAUAAUACAAAAACUAGGUAUGGUAUGUGAAAAUAAACAAAAAAAAAAAGGAAUCUAUCAUGUUACUAACUGAAAAAUAGUGAUUAAAUGAAAAAAAUAAAUACAAUAAUAGGGGAAAGACAACAAGAAAGAUUGAACAAAAAGUAAUAAAGUCUUGCUUUAUUAGAAAGUAAAGUUGAAUUGUGGAUGUCUCAAUCCACUAGCUUGACUUCAAAAGCGAAGAUAUAAUGGGUUAUGAUGAUUAUACUUGAGUGGUAAUCUUUUAAGUUUUGAUAAUUAAACUUAAUAAUACAAAGACUAGGUAUGGUAUGUGAAAAUAAACAAAAAAAUAAAAAUAAAAAUAAAAAAGGAAUCUCUCAUGUCACUAAGUGAUAAAUAGAGAUUAAAUGAAAAUAAAAAAUAUAAAAAUAGGGGAAAGACAACAAGAAAGGCUGACCAAAAGUAAUAAAGUCUUGCUUUAUUAGAAAGUAAAGUUGAAUUGUGGAUGUCUCAAUCCACUAGCUUGACUUCAAAAGCGAAGAUGUAAUGGGUUAUGAUGAUUAUACUUGAGUGGUAAUCUUUUAAGUUAUGAUUAUUAAACUUAAUAAUACAAAGACUGUGUAUGGUAUGUGAAAAUAAAAAAUAAAAAAAUAAAAAAGAAAUCUCUCAUGUUACUAAGUGAUAAAUACUGAUUAAAUAAAAAUAAAUAAAUAUAAAAAUAGGGGAAAGACAACAAAAAAUGUUGAACAAAAAGUAAUAAAGUCUUGCUUUAUUAGAAAGUAAAGUUGAAUUGUGGAUGUCUCAAUCCACUAGCUUGACUUCAAAAGCGAAGAAGUAAUGGGUUAUGAUGAUUAUACUUGAAUGGUAAUCUUUUAACAUGUGAUAAUUAAACUUAAUAAUACAAAGACUAUGUAUGGUAUGUGCAAAAAAAUAAAAAUAAAAAAAGAGUCUCAUGUUACUUGGUGAUAAAUAGUGAUUAAAUGAAAACAAAUCAAUAUAAAUAUAGGGGAAAGUCAACUAGAAAGGUUAAACAAAAAGUAAUAAAGUCUUGCUUUAUUAGAAAGUAAAGUUGAAUUGUGGAUGUCUCAAUCCACUAGCUUGACUUCAAAAGCAAAGAUAUAAUGGGCUAUGAUGAUUAUAUUGGUUUGGUAAUCUUUUAAGUUAUGAUAAUUAAACUUAAUAAUACAAAGAAUAGGUAUGUUAUGUGAAAAUAAACAAAAAAAUAAGGAAUCUCUCAUGUUACUAAGUGAUAAAUAGUGAUUAAAUGAAAAUAAAUAAAUAUUAAAAUAGGGGAAAAACAACAAGAAAGGUUGAAAAAAAGUAAGAAAGUCUUGCUUUAUUAGAAAGUAAAGUUGAAUUGUGAAUGUCUCAAUCCACUAGCUUGACUUCAAAAGCGAAGAAGUAAUGGGUUAUGAUGAUUAUACUCUAAUGGUAAUCUUUUAAGUUAUGAUAAUUAAAGUUAAUAAUACAAAGACUGUGUAUGGUAUGUGAAAAUAAACAAAAAUAAAAAAAGAAUCUCUCAUGUUACUAAGUGAUAAAUAGCGAUUAAAUGAAAACAAAUAAAUAUAAAAAUAGGGGAAGGACAAUAAGAAAGUUUGAACAAAAAGUAAUAAAAUCUUGCUUUAUUAGAAAGUAAAGUUGAAUUGUGGAUGUCUCAAUCCACUAGCUUGACUUCAAAAGUGAAGAAGUAAUGGGUUAUGAAGAUUAUACUUGAAUGGUAAUCUAUUAAGUUAUGAUAGUUAAACUUAACAAUACAAAAACUAUGUUUGGUAUGUGAAAAUAAACAAAAAAAAUUAAAAUAAAAAAAGAAUCUCUCAUGUUACUAGGUGAUAAAUAGUGGUUAAAUGAAAACAAAUAAAUAUAAAAUUAGGGAAAGACAACAUGAAAGGUUGAACAAAAAGUAAUAAAGUCUUUCUUUAUUAGAAAGUAAAGUUGAAUUGUGGAUGUCUCAAUCCAUUAGCUUGACUUCCAAAGCGAAGAUGUAAUGGGUUAUGAUGAUUAUACUUGAGUGAUAAUCCUUUAAGUUAUGAUAGUUAAACUUAAUAAUACAAAGACUAGGUAUGGUAUAUGAAAAUAAACAAAAAAAAAAUAAAAAUAAAAAUAAAAAGGAAUCUCUCAUGUUUCUAAGUGAUAAAUAGUGAUUAAAUGAAAACAAAUAAAUAUAAAAAUAGGGGAAAGACAACUACAAAUGUUGAAUAAAAAAGUUGAAUUGUGGAUGUCUCAACUCACUAGUCGGACUUCAGAAGCGAAGAUGUAAUGGGUUAUGAUGAUUAUACUUGAGUGGUAAUCUUUUAAGUUAUGAUAAUAAACUUAAUAAUACAAAGACUAGGUAUGGUAUGUGAAAAUAAACAAAAAAUAAAAAGAGAAAUAAAAAGGAAUCUCUCAUGUUUCUAAGUGAUAAAUAGUGAUUAAAUGAAAAUAAAUAAAUAUAAAAAUAGGGGAAAGACAACUAGAAAGGUUCAACAAAAAGUAAUAAAGUCUUGCUUUAUUAGAAAGUAAAGUUGAAUUGUGGAUGUCUCAAUCCACUAGCUUGACUUCAAAAGCGAAGAUGUAAUAUUGCUUUAUGUGCUUGAAAUCAUAAGAUGGUUUGAUUUAUUACUUAUGAAUGAAGGAAUUAGGUAGACUAAUAUGGUUUUAUGACCGUUGAAAAGGAAAAAGAAAAAAAAAAACAAAAGAUAUUGUAAUAUCUCUUACUUAUUCUUUGCUUGGGGGAUAUGUCUUAGUUGAUUGGCUUAACUUUGAACCAUUAUACAAAAGAACUUAUGAUAUAAUGAUUUUGCACAAAAAAAAAAAAAAAAACAAAAAAGCAAAAUUAUGAAUGUAACUAUAAAAGCCAAUACAACUAUAGUUCUAAAAUUUUAUUUCCAAAAUAUAUCUUCUUGCAAGGAUACAAAAUUGACUCUUAAGAAUUAAUAUAGUUUCAUAUUAAGUGUAUCUAUGUGCAUAAUUUAUUUAUUUAUUUAUUUAUUUUUUCAAAUGAUGUGUUGUUUUUUAUAUUAAAAGAAAAAAAAUUUAAUGUCAAUAUCUUAUUUUAUAAAUAAUGUUGCUUUACAACAUAACACAAUAAAUUUAAAAAGUCUUUUUUUAAUGUUGAAGAAAAAUUGCAUUUGCAUGUAUGCAAUCAUAUAAUACAAAUCAAGAGGGUAUAUAAGAAGUAAAUACUGAAGACACGGGCUUAAAAGAAGGUGAAGAUGUACAUAAAUUAGUAAAAAGUUUAAUGAUUAUGAUUAUAUGAUUGUGUCCUCUAUACUUUAUUGAUUUUUUAAUGGAAUCACACAAAUUUUCUUUUCUUGUAAAAAAGUAAAACCGAACAUUGAUUUUUUAUUUAUUUAUAAAAAUAAGAAGUAUUUGCAAACAUUUUUGCAUGUAAAAAAAAUCAUUGAAGCUAGCACUUUCACCAAAAGAAUCUACAAAUGCAUCGACUUGCAACUUCUAUUAAUCAGAUAGAAUUACCACUUCAUAUGUUACACUUGACAAUUUAAGUAGUGAAAAUUUGAUGAAAAACUUUAUACUUGACAAUACGUUUGUAACAAUUUGGUAAAAUUUUUUAUUAGUGGUAAUCUUAUGAGAUAUGAUAAUUAGACUUGAUAAUGCAAAUAAAACACUAAGUACCAUGGGAAAAUGAAGGAAAAAGGAUUGUCUCUUGUGUUUUUAAGUGACAAAUAGCAAUAAAAUAAAAAACAAUAUAUAUAUUAAUUUUCAUAUUUUUUUUUUCAUUAUAGUGGCAUGCAUAUUAUCUUACAAGGUAAAAUAAAUGUAAAAUUAGGGGAAAGACUAACAAGAAAAGUUGAAAAAAAGUAAUAUAUAAGUCUUGCUUUAUAUGUAAUGGUCUUCUCUUUAAUAUAAUUUGUGUUUUAUAUGCCAUUGAGUUCAUGAGAUGUUUCAAUUAAUUAUUUAUGACUUAAAGCUUUAGAUAGACGUGUGGGAAGGGAGAGACUAAUUAAUAAGCAUUGGAAACAUAGACUUUGGAUAAUUAUCUCAUUUUCUUGUUCUUUUAAACAUGGUAAUGAUAAACACACAUACGUUUUUUUUAGUAAGUAGAGAUAUUGUCAAGUUGAGUCAAUUGACAUUGAAAAUAUAGAUAUUGGACAAUUAUUUCUUUUUCUUCUCUUUCAGACAUGGUAGAGGCAUACAUUGAUAUUUCUAAGUCUUUUACAAAGUAUACACUACCUUUUUCUUUUUUAGUUUUUUUGGGUCAAGUCAAUAGAUUAGUGGGUGGAGGAAAAACAACAAACUAACAAACAUGAACCUUAGAUUAUUACUUUUUUCUCUUUCACACAUGAUAGUGGUCCUAGUUCAUAAAUUUUUCUAUGUCCUUUAAUUGGCAAGGAUAGAGACUCUUCAUUUUUAUCUCUCAUGUUGUUAGUUUCCAUCUUUAAUAUCUUAGAUUUUUUUUUUAAUUUUAUCUUUAACUUGUAGCUUGGUGGAAAGCCAAUUUAUUGUGACUUGUAAGCCAUCUUGGAAUUUAAAAAAUAAAAAUAAAAUUAUAGAUACAUCAUCUUGGAAUUUAAGGUUUAAAAAGGCUUUGUGUGUUGGAACUACAUGAUUUGGUAUUAAUAAUAAUUUAAUAUAAAUAUUUUAUUUUAUUUUGCUCUCGUUGCAUCAAUAUAAUAACAAACUUAUAUUUAUACUAAACAAAUCAUCAUUGUACUAUGACCUUAUUUGAUAAUUACACUAAGUGUCUUAAUUAACAUAAUAAUCCUAAAUAAAUAAAAAUUUUCUAAUAUUUUUCAAAUUCUUAAAAUACUUUUAAUUUCAAUUGAAGUUAGAUAACUAAUUUCAAUAGCCCUCCUUGAGUCAAGCUUUAAAGUCAAUCAUACAAAAUAACAUCUUCAUCUUUUGUACAUAUUCGCCUUUAAUGGGUUUGUAAAAGAUAACUACAAUUUCAUCUUUUGAUUUGCCAAACCCAAGCUUUAUCUUACCAUUUCGUGAGUUCUCUAAUAUGAUGAAACUUGAUUCUUAUAUGCUUCUACAAUGAAAUAUUAGAUUCUUUGUUAUUGGUAUAGCAAACUUAUUAUCACACAAAAUCUUUGUAGUACAUUUUAAUUUAUGCUUUAACUCACUAAGAAUCCUAUGAAGCUAAGCUACUUGACAUGCUAUCAAAUUCACUACCAUGUAUUUAGCUUUUGUAGUGAUAAUGCUACAACUUGCUAAUUCUUUGAUGAUCGUGAGAAUGCUCUUGUUCCAAGAUAAAAAAAACAUAUCUAAUAGUCCUCGUUCUAGUCUUUACAUCACCUCCUUAGUCACUAUCAAUGUAACCCACUAAAUUAAAAUUGCUUAGUAAGAGUAAAAAAUUCCAUGAUCAAGAGUACCAUUGAUAUACAUAAAAUUCCCUUUGUUGCUUGCUAAUGUGUCUACUAUGGUUUUUCCAUAAAUUGAUUGAUAAUUCCCACUCCACAAACAAUAUUUGUCCAAUAUAAAUCAAACAACAAAAACUUUCCACUAUGCCCUUGAAAUAUGUGAAAUUUAAUAAUUCUCUAAUGUCUUCCUUUUUCAUCUUUAAUUGCUUUGUAAUAGGAGACUAAAUUGUUGAUAAUUAUUUCAUCUCGAAUAAUUUUCGAAUGUUUAUAACAUACUUCUCUUGUGAGAUGAAAAUAUCAUCAUUUGUUUGUUGGACCUCAAUUCCAAGAAAAUAGGACAUUAAUCCUAAAUCUAUCAUCUCAAUUUACUAUGUCAUUGUUGUUGGGAUAGAACCCUAGAAAGUAUGCAUGACAUGAUGUAUUCAUUAAUAAAUUUAUUUAUUUAUGAUGUUGGUUUUCUUUUAUUAUCCUAUUUUCAUUAAUUGGUUAUCUAAACAUUUAUGCCCACUAGCACUUUUAAAUCAUAUUUAUUUAUAUCAUAGUCUCAUUUAAUUUGUGUAUACUUUGUAGUUUGGUCUCAAAUGUUUGUACCGUUAUCCAACGGUGUAAAUUUUAUCACACACAUUCAAUGGCCCAAUGUGGACUCCAAUAGGUACUUAUGUACUUUAGUAUAUUCCUUAGAUAGAUAUAGUACCUUAGAUAAAUAUAGUAACUUUUAUAUAAAAAAUGAUCCUACUGAAAGUUUACUUUUAAAAGUUUUAUGUAAAAUUUACUAUUAUUUUUUAUUUUUUUAAAAAUAGAAAAUAAAAAAUAUAUCUAAACAACACCUAAAUUAAUAAAUAAUAUUUUUAUAUUCAAUUUAUUUUAUUCAUCUAAAUUUUAAUAACCAUUUACCAAGUUAAAAGGUCAUAAAAAAGAUUAAGAAUAUCAUACUUUGAUUAAUUAUUUAUAAUCAAUAAAAUAUAAAUAUUCUUAAUCGAAGUUUUGUUUUAAUUAGAUAAGUCUAACAUUAUUUCAUAACUAAUUCUAAGUCUCAUUUUUAUUUUUAUUUUUAUUUUCAAAAUGAAACCAUAAUCCUUUUGAACUAUGCCAUUGAGAUGGGUAUCAUUUAAACACAAUGAUGUUAUUGUUUAUCACUUUUAUGGGGGUAGUAUGUUAAACCUAUAUAUUUCACUUCAUUUCAUUUUUAUUAUAACAAGGGUGAUGCUAAUCGUACUCGUCUUUUCUAUUUGUACACUUAGGUGGUGUUUGUUUUUUGGCUGAACAGAAAAAGUCAAAAUAUUUGUCUUUUCUUAUUCAGUUAAAAAUAACAUGUUGACAUCAUCCAACAUAACUAAACUGAACCUAUUGAUAACAAGUUCAUUUUAGCUAUGUUGGAUGAUGUCAACAAGUUACUUUUAGCUUAAUAGAAAAAACCAAAUAUUUUGGUUUUUUCUAUUCAGCCAAAAAACAAACACCACCUUAGCCUCAUUUGAAAAAAAACAAAGAAAAGUAGGUGUAAAGAGAAAAAAAAAAGGUGGGUACAAUUAUUAUUUUCUUUAUGGUAAACAUAAAUACUUGCAUAAUAGUGGCCUUCGAGGUAAUGAGGGAAAAGUCCUCACUCAAUUCCUUGCGGAAUAGCAGACUUUUUGAGGUAUAACGAGAGUUUGAAGAGGUAAAGGCCUUACUCUAUUCCUGCCCUUCAGUAAGGAAUAAUGGCCUUAAUUUUUUAUUUUUUAUUUGGGUCAAAGCCUGACUCUAUUCUUGCCUUUCAGUUAGGAAUAGCCGCUUUGGAGAAGGGUAAGAAUAAUGAGUGAAGUCCUUACUCUAUUCCUAGCGGAAUAGCAGACUUUGGUUAUUAGGGAGAGGCCUUACUUUAUUCCCUUCAAGAAUAGCAGCCUUGGUUGAAGAGAAGUUGUAGCUCACAAUUUCUUACCACAUUGAAUGAAUCAAUUUCUUACCAUAUUUCUUUCAUUUCCUAUGAAGAAAAAUUAAUAAUCAGGUCAUAAGUUAGUUGGAAACUAAAGUAAUGAUGUAAUCAACUUCUUUUUUUUCCUAAGUUUGUGAAGAUGUCUUGAUUAAUAUGUUUUUCUUUGUAAUGAAGUUUCAAUAGGUUGAUAUAACUUAAAAUAAGAGAUCAAAUAUUUGUAAUUAUUUUCGCACCUCGAUUCAUAGAACAUCUUUCAAUUCUUCCUCAUUUGUCAUUAAUUAAUAAUUAAAUUUGAUUUUGGAUCCGGAUGUGUUCAUGAAUUUACAUAAGUUGAGCUUAAUUAAAGCCAUCAUACAUAGGAAGAUCAAACAUUUGAAAAUAUACUAAUAAUAUAAGAAUUUAUAUAAUUGGUUAAGAGAAUUUUUAUAAGAAUUGAUAACAUUUAAAAGAAAAAACAGUUUAAUAUUGGGUUAUAUACUUUUCUAAUACAAAAAUUGUUAUGUAAAAAUUAUGAAUUUGACUCUUCAAUAAAUAAAAGCUACAACUUCUUAACCAUAAAAAUAAAUAAAUAAAUAAAAUAAAAAUUAUGAAUUUGACUCUUCAAUAAAUAAACCAACUACCCAAACAAUGCCCUAAAAAGAAUACAUGCAGGGAGCUUUGCCUUCAUCAACCUCUCUUAAAUUUGGAGCCACUUUGCCCCCUUUUUUAAGGGUAAAACUUAGGUAACGCUCAUAAUUAUUUAUUUUCAAAAUCACUUCAUUUAUUAUAUAAUAUGUUAUUAAACAUAUUAUUAUUACUUACAUUAAUUGAUUCUCUGUGAAUGAGAAAGGAAUGGCAGCACCUAAAGUGGCUGGAAAAAUAUGAGCAACGACGGUACAGUAGGGUCUGUUUGGUAGUUGGUUUGAAAAAUAAAUCAGAAAAAUAAUUUUUGAAAAUAAUUUUUUAGAUUUUAUAGAAUAAAAAUCUAUUUAAAUACUUAAAAUAUUUUUAAAAAUAAUUUUUAUACUUAAUUAUUUUACAUGUUUAUGUAAUUAUUUUUUUAAAAUAACAUUAAAAAAAUAAAUGAAAGUAAUAUAAAACACUUGAAAUAUGUUAUCCGAAAAUAUUUUGUUUUUUGUGUUUUAUUGAUAAACGUGUUUUUUCUUUAAGAAAAAAAAAAAAAAAACCGUUGUUAAAAACAGUUCUGAAACAGGAACUAAGUUAUUGCUUUCAAAUUAUGUUUUUGUUUAACACUUUUAAACAGUAUUUUCUUAUGUUUUAAGAAUUGGAAUUAGAAUCAGCAGAAGAAGCGUUUUUUAAAAAUAUAAAAAUAAAAUCGAAGUGCAUUGAAGAUGCUAAAGCCCAAAUGCAUCAGGGAAUGUGCUGAGUGACUGAGUCACUCGGUCGGAUCCCCAUCCCUCUAGUGAAAGCCUCAGAUCUAAGAUGAAACUAAUCCAACGGUCCGGAUAAUUUCACCCACAAACCCCGACCUCUCCCUAUAAUCUAUAUGCCUUGCAGAACCUCACACGUCACCAAAAUAUACGAAAAAUUCCCGUGUCAGCGUCCAACAGCGAACCAAGGCAUAUUUUCCUGCAACAUCUCAGCCGUCCAUUGUCUGGGUCCCAUUUUACCAUGUACGGCUCAGAUGUAUAGGCAAAAUCUUUAUAGGUACCCAGCGACGGACUCUGGGGCAAUGUUUUCAGAACCGGACCGGUGAUCGAACCGGAAAAGUUACCGGUUCACGGUUCACUGGUCGGACCGGCGGUCGAACCGCUAUUGAACCGGUGACGUCAUAAAUAUAUAAUUUAUAUAUUAUUAAAAUUAAAAAUAAUUAUAAAAAUUUUAAAAUAUAUAUGAAUAAAUUGAAAAUCAAUAAUAUUAUCAAAUUAAAUCAUAUUAAUAUUUUUAAUUUUAUUAAAUGAGAUAUGUAAAAUAUUUAAAUGUGAAAAUAUUAAAAAUGAAAAUUUAAACUAAUUUUAUCAUUUUUAAAAAUAUUAUAUUAUUUUUAUUUAACAUUACAAAAAAAAUUUAAAAUCUAAUAUAUAUUAUUUUGUUUAGCAUAUUAGGUAACAAAAGCCGUGUAGCUGGAGUGGUGCCUAGGCUGCCUUCCGAAACAGGGGUCCAAGGUUCAAUUCCUCUUGGCUGGGGACUUGUUAUUAUUUUUUUCAUUGCUUAGGUUGGUUAGGAAUCCCACAUCGGAUUCUAAGAGAAAUGAGGAUGCAAAGGGUGCCUAUAAAUGCUAUCCACAUUGAAGACCAAAGCAUUGCUUCACUGGGUGGGCUGAAAAGUAAGCCCACAAUAUGAUUGAGUGGGGUUUGGGCUUUGUCAUGAUGAGACAAGGCCCAAAAUGGGCAUUUGCCAAAACAUUUUUAUGCAAUGAGCCUUUAAAAUGGAGGUUCAAAUUGAACCGUUCGGUUCAAUUAGAACCGUCCGGUUCAACCGAGUCGCCGGUCCGACCGCCGGUUUUGGCGGUUCGUGGCCGGUUUAAACCUUAAGCUGUUCAAUAGGGCAGACCGGACCGGAAUUGUGACCGGUCGACGGUUGAACCGGUUGGACCGGCCGGUCCGGUCCGGUUUUUAAAACAUUGCUCUGGGGACUCUCUUUCGUCUUUUUUUUUUUUUUUUUCUUUUUCUCCUUUCCUCCUCUGUGGCGGCUCUAAGCUUUUUUUGGGUACCGAGCUUCACGCUCGAUACAGAAACCCUAACUGCUCGUACUAUACAAAACCAAACCGCAUAUUAGAGCUUCGGCGACACAGCAAUGGAGGUUUCCCUAGGAAGACGCCACCACACUUUUCUAUAUGAUUUAUCCACAUUAAGAAAAAAGUAGAAUCCGAAAAUGUCAUGCAGGAGACCAUUUUUAUUUAAAAUUAUGCUUCCUUUUUAAAGUGGAAGGAAUCUAGGUACUGCGUUCAUAUGGUAGAGUCAAACUUUCCAGGCAAAAACAGAUACUAUAUAUAUAUAUAUAUAUAUAUAUAUAUAUGUGAGUGCUUGGUCUCCUGGGAAUUCAUAAGAAAAAACCAACAGUUGCAAAGCCUCUCUUCUAUUACUUGCAGACCAUGGCAGGACGGUCCUUUCAACACCUUCUUAGCUUUCUUAUGCUUUUGUUGCUAUGUGCCAAACCUGGCAUGGGGAAUGUUACUGGGUGCAUAGAGAGGGAGAGACAAGCUCUCCUUCACUUCAAACAUGGCCUUGUGGAUGACUUUGGCCUUCUUUUCUCAUGGGGAGACGACAACAGAGAUUGUUGCCAAUGGAGAGGAGUCCAGCGUAGUAACCAGUCAGGUCACAUCAUCAUGCUUCAUCUUCCUGCCCCGCCAAAUGAAGAAUAUGAUGAAUAUGGUAUUUACCAAUCUCUUAGAGGCGAUAUAAGUCCUUCGCUGCUUGAAUUGGAGCACUUGACUCAUUUGGAUCUCAGCUGUAAUGAUUUUGAAGGGAGGCACAUACCUCCAUUCCUUGGUUCCCUCAGCAGAAUGCAGUACCUCAAUCUCUCUCAGGCCAAUCUCGCUCAAACUGUUCCCACUCAACUGGGGAAUCAUUCCAACUUGCUUUCCCUUGAUCUCAGCGAUAAUUAUUUGAAUUUUGGGAACCUUGAGUGGCUUUCUCGUCUUUCUUCUUUUAAGACACCUUGACCUGAGUUCUGUCGACCUUAGUAAAGUCAUCCACUGGUCCCACGCAAUUAAUAAACUCCCUUCUCUCAUUCACUUGGAUUUACAAAAUUGUGGUCUCCCUCCCAUCCCUCCACUCAUCAUUCCGUCUCUUUCCCAUGUGAAUUCCUCUGUCCCUCUUGUUUUCCUUGAUCUCUCUAGGAAUUAUCUCACUUCUUCAAUAUAACCAUGGCUGCUCAACUUUAGUACCACCCUCCUUCAUCUUGAUCUCUCGUUCAGUGAUUUAAACGGUUCGAUUCUGAAAUAUGCUUUUGGGAACAUGAGUUCCCUUGAAUAUCUUAAUCUCCAUUCGAGUGAACUUGAUGAUGAGAUUCCGGAUACAAUUGGAGACAUGGGAUCACUUGCAUAUCUUGAUCUCUCUUGCAAUCAACUGCAGGGCUCAAUUCCAAAUACAAUUAGGAAGAUGGUUUUACUUUCACAUCUUGAUCUCUUUCGCAAGCAACUGCGGGGCUCAAUUCCAGAUACAGUUGGGAAGAUGGUUUUACUUUCACGUCUUAAUCUUUCUGGCAAUCAACUGCAGGGCUCAAUUCCACAUACAGUUGGGAAGAUGGUUUUACUUUCACAUCUUGAUCUCUCUGGCAAUCAACUACAGGGCUCAAUUCCAAAUACAGUUGGGAAGAUGGUUUUACUUUCACAUCUUGAUCUCUCUCGCAAUCAAUUGCAGGGCUCAAUUGCAGAUACAGUUGGCAACAUGGUUUCUCUUGGAAAACUCUAUCUCUCUUUGAAUCAUCUUCAAGGUGAGAUUCCAAAAUCCUUGAGUAAUUUAUGUAACUUACAAGCAUUAGAGUUGGAUAGAAACAAUAUCUCUGGACAGCUUGCACCAGACUUUGUGGCCUAUGCAAAUGACACAUUAGUGACUUUGUCUUUAUCAGCAAACCAGUUCAGUGGAUCAGUUCCUGCUCUCAUUGGAUUUUCAUCCUUGAGAGAGUUACAUCUUGAUUUUAAUCAACUAAAUGGAACUUUACCUAAAGGUCUUGGACAGUUGUCCAACCUUCAAUCCUUGGAUAUUGCCUCAAAUUCAUUGCAAGGCACUAUCAAUGAAGCCCAUCUCUUUAAUCUAUCCCAGUUGUCCUAUUUAGACUUAUAUUAGCUUCCAACUCUCUCACUUUCAACAUGAGCUUGGAGUGGGUUCCUCCAUUUCAACUGCUUCAUCUACUAUUAGCCUCCUGCAAAUUAGGACCUCUUUUUCCUAGUUGGCUUCGUACUCAAAACUCGUUGAGAGAGCUUGAUAUCUCCAAUUCUGAAAUUUCAGAUGUCCUCCCAGACUAGUUCUGGAAUGUAACCAUCUCAACUGUCAGAACCUUGAGUAUUUCCAACAAUCAGAUCAAAGGAACCUUACCGAAUUUAUCAUCAAAAUUUGGUUAUGUAUCUAACAUAGAUAUGAGCUCAAACUGUUUUGAGGGUUCAAUACCACAACUUCCUUAUGACGUGCAAUGGUUGGAUCUCUCCAAUAACAAGUUCUCAGGGUCCAUUUCUUUAUUAUGUACAGUGGGUAAUCAGUUACUUCUACUUGACCUCUCAAACAACUCGUUGUCGGGAGGGCUGCCCAAUUGUUGGGCACAGUGGGAAAGUUUGGCAGUUCUUAAUUUGGAAAGUAACAGAUUUUCUGGGCAAAUUCCAAAUUCAUUUGGCUCUUUGCAAUCAAUUCAAACACUACAUUUGCGCAAUAAAAAUUUAACCGAAAAAUUGCCUUUAUCUUUUAUGAAUUGUACAAGUUCGAGGUUCAUUGAUUUGGCAAAAAAUAGGUUAUUGAUUACUACUCAAAAAGGGCUAUUUGAUAGCUUGUAAUUAACUCUUUUAAACAAUUUUGAGUAGUAGUUAUUGCCUUUUAACCCAAUUAGCAUAUUGAGGACCUUUGCAAUCACUUCUAAUCAUUUUGUGUAAGUUUUGGUGUUUUUGUUAGUAAUUUGAUCACCAAAGCAACCCAAGGUGGAGGAGAGUUAUUUGGAAUCCAUGGCAAAGCAAUGGAAAGCUCAGAAACAUGAAGAAUCAGAGCUUUAAAGCCUUAAAGUCCUUUGCCAUAACCAAUCCGGAAUGCAAGGAGGAGAAGUAAAGAGAGAAUCUACCUUGAAGCAUUCUUGAUGACAGUCAUUUCAGCCACUUUUGGAUUACUUCCUGAAGUCCAAUUUAUGCAUGCUUUAUGUCGUUUCGAAGAUCGGGAAGUCAAAAAUCCAAUGCUUCAAACGGUUCGCAAAUCAGAGUUGAAAUGAAAAAGUUAGAGCCAAUGGAAGCAGAUCACUCCAAGCUGAAGGCCAAUUUCGCAGGGCUGCGAAAUCAGCCUUCGGCUGCGAAAUGAUUUCGCAGCCAUCUUGUUCGUCUGCGAAAUUUCGCAGCCAUUUUGUGCGCCUGCGAAAUUCUCCUGAGUGCUUCCAGAUAUUUGCGACCAACGUUUUUUGUUAUUUUGCCUCAGAUAUUUGUUGUCUAAAUCCCAAUUCUCUCCUUGUAAUCCACCAAUUAGAUGAUUCCUUAGUUGUUAAGCAAGGAUACAGGGGUAAACAACCUGUUAUAUAUUGUUUUGUAAGUUUCAUUUUAAGGGUCGUCGGGGAAUUUUCUCCAGAAGACCAUCUUUUGUAAAGUUUACACUUAGCUAAAUACAGAGUAUCUUUUGCUUUCUUUUUCUCUCUUCUAUUUUCUAUUUUCUUAGUAGCCAAACAUCCUUGGAGGAUGAAAUCCCCAAGGAUGAGAGGCUAAAACCUUUUAGUUUCUUGAAGUAAUGGAUGCCAUGUGAAGCUCCCGUGUCAGGAUGGAGAUUUCCAAGCCAUGAAUGUAAGUAGCUGAGCGUCAUAAAUGUUUUCAUUCAAAGUAAAGCUUUUAAUCCCUCUGACUUGCUUUGAAUGGCCAAUACUUGAUAACCUUUUGGUCUCAGUGGAUUCUUAUUGUUAGAUCCACUGAUGUUCAUUAGUUAUCUCCUACGAGCCAUUGUAUUGCAAGUCGAGGAGAUGACCUAUAUCAUUAAAAGAGCAUUUAUGAGGUUCAACUACCCUUUUUGUAAGUUUUCAAGGACUAAAACUCAGUUGUUAAACUCAUACCGGUUCGGGAAGUAAGCAUCACCUUAGUUGCUUCCCCAACUCGAGGUGAAAAGUCCCAAAAUCUCCAUUUUUACACAGUGAGUUAAGCAUGGCUAUCCAAAGCUUUGAGAAACUUCUUUUUCCAUCUUUUAACCUAUUUUCAUGUUAGUUUAGUUUACACACCUUCAUCUUUUUAUGUUUUCAUCUUAACCUAAUUUUUAUUAAGAAAAGUUCACUCCAUCCUCCGAACUUCACCAGUUAAAGUAAAAACCCUUCCCAGUGUUCGAUCCUAGAGCCACUAUGCUAUAGUAGCUUUGCUACUUUAGUGUAAGGACCUUAGGUAUAAAUUUUGUUGAUACCCUUACAUGCCAAGCUACCAAGAGUCGGGUUAUCAAAUGGCGCCGUUGCCGGGGAGGGUGCUACUUCACUGUGAAUAUAUCAGCCGGAGGUAACUUGUGAGACUUCUCAUGAGUAAGGUGAAUUCUAUCUCAUUUUUCAUUUACUAACUUUUUAUUUUAGUUUUAGAACAUUUUUAACUUAGUUUAGAUAAGUUUCUUUUAGCUUUUAACUUUCAUUUUUAGUUUAUUUUUCAUACUCUGUUUUUCCUUCCGCAUGCUCUGUUUUUUUUUCUUUUUCUUUGUUUUGUUUGUUUACUUUGUUCCAGCUGAAUCCGUGCAUGCCCUAUUGGAUUAGAGACCAAGAGGGAAGGUUAGUGCGGAUAGAGACUCCACGAGCUAUUGAAUUAGAGAUUAUUUUAAAAGUCAUGGAGAAUCAGCCAGAGGAUCAACAUUCACAACACGGGCAGGGGAAUGAUCCGAACUUGUAUAGGUCCAUGAGGGACAGGAUGCACCCUCCGAGGAUGAGUGCACCAUCUUGCAUCAUUCCUCCUACAGAGCAAUUGAUUAUCAGGCCACACAUCGUGCCUCUGCUUCCUACUUUCCAUGGGAUGGAAAGUGAAAAUCCAUAUGCGCACAUAAAGGAAUUCGAAGAUGUGUGCAAUACUUUUCAAGAAGGGGGAACAGCUAUUGAGCUUAUGAGGUUGAAGCUCUUUCCAUUCACAUUAAAGGACAAAGCCAAGAUAUGGCUCAAUUCCUUGAGGCUGAGAAGCAUAAGAACAUGGACAGAACUUCAGGCUGAUUUUUUGAAGAAGUUUUUCCCUACUCACAGAACAAAUGGAUUGAAGAGACAAAUCUCCAACUUCUCAGCACGUGAGAAUGAAAAAUUUUAUGAAUGCUGGGAGAGGUAUAUGGAAGCCAUCAAUGCAUGUCCUCACCACGGCUUUGAUACAUGGUUUUUGGUGAGCUAUUUUUAUGAUGGCAUGUCAUCUUCAAUGAAGCAGAUAUUGGAGACAAUGUGUGGGGGCGAUUUCAUGAGCAAGAACCCUGAGGAGGCUAUGGAUUUCCUAAGUUAUGUCUCAGAGGUCUCCUGUGGAUGGGAUGAGCCCACUAACAGAGAAAUGGGGAAGAGGCCAGUUCAGCAAAUGUCAAAAGGGGGGAUGUACAAUCUGAGUGAAGACAUGGAGAUGAAAGCCAAGGUGGCUGCCAUGGCUAGACGAAUAGAGGAAAUGGAGUUGAGAAAAGUUCACGAAGUCCAAGCUAUUUCAGAGCCUCAACAACCAGCCAAUCCUUGCUCCAUAUGUCAGUCAUUUGAACAUAUGGUGGAAGAAUGUCCCACCAUUCCAGCAGCAAGAGAAAUGUUUGGGGAACAAGCUAACCUGAUUGGCCAAUGGAAGCCAAAUUCAAAUGCUCCCUAUGGCAACACGUACAACUCUAGCUGGAGGAACCACCCAAACUUUGCAUGGAAGCCAAGGCCAAACCCAUAUCAGUCACCAGCCCAAUCAAGCCAACAGAGUCAAGGUCAAUCCUCAGUUGAGCAAGCACUCAUAAGCCUUAGCAAGGUUAUGGGUGACUUUGUGAGUGAGCAAAAAUCCAUCAACUCUCAACUAAAUCAGAAGAUUGACAACGUAGAGAGUACAUUGAACAAGAAGAUAGAUGGGAUGCAUAAUGAGUUGUCUCAGAAAAUUGACAACAUCCAAUAUUCCAUCUCAAGGCUCACAAAUUUGAACACUGUUAAUGAGAAAGGAAAGUUUCCCUCUCAGCCUCACCAAAAUCCUAAGGGGAUACAUGAAGUGNNNNNNNNNNNNNNNNNNNNNNNNNNNNNNNNNNNNNNNNNNNNNNNNNNNNNNNNNNNNNNNNNNNNNNNNNNNNNNNNNNNNNNNNNNNNNNNNNNNNCAAGAGGUAGUAAGGGCUGAAGUGUUGAAGCUUCUUCAAGCGGGCAUCAUUUACCCCAUUUCGGAUAGCACUUGGGUGAGUCCAACCCAAGUUGUUCCAAAGAAGUCCGGGAUAACCGUAGUCAAGGGGGAAAAUGGAGAUGAAGUGUCCACACGCCUCACAACUGGUUGGAGGGUGUGCAUUGACUACAGGAAGCUGAACGCAGUAACGAGAAAGGAUCACUUCCCUUUACCUUUCAUGGAUCAAGUCCUUGAGAGAGUAUCUGGGCAUCCUUUUUAUUGCUUCUUGGAUGGGUAUUCCGGGUAUUUUCAAAUAGAGAUUGCUGUGGAGGACCAGGAGAAGACUACCUUCACUUGUCCAUUCGGCACCUAUGCUUAUAGGCGGAUGCCUUUUGGAUUAUGCAAUGCUCCUGCUACCUUCCAAAGAUGCAUGCUUAGCAUCUUCAGUGACAUGGUUGAACGAAUAAUGGAAGUCUUCAUGGAUGACAUAACUGUGUAUGGGACUUCUUUUGAGGAUUGUUUGUCACAUCUUGAAGAUGUUUUGAAAAGAUGCAUAGAGAAAGACCUCGUACUCAAUUGGGAGAAGUGCCAUUUUAUGGUAAAUCAAGGUAUUGUUCUUGGGCACGUAAUCUCAAAGAAGGGUAUAGAGGUAGAUAGAGCUAAGGUGGAACUAAUUGUGAAGUUGCCACCUCCCACCAAUGUAAAAGGAAUAAGGCAAUUCCUGGGGCAUGCCGGGUUCUAUAGGAGGUUUAUAAAGGAUUUUUCCAAGAUUGCUAAACCUCUUUGUGAAUUAUUGGUGAAGGAUGCCAAGUUUGAGUGGGAUGAUAAAUGUCAAAGGAGUUUUGAGCUUCUUAAGCAAUUCUUGACAUCAGCACCCAUUGUGAGAGCACCAAAUUGGGAGUUGCCAUUUGAAGUGAUGUGUGACUCAAGUGAUUAUGCCAUUGGGGCUGUUUUGGGACAAAGAGAAGAUGGUAAACCUUAUGUGAUCUACUAUGCAAGUAAGUCUUUGAAUGAUGCUCAAAGGAAUUACACCACUACUGAGAAGGAAUUACUUGCUGUGGUGUAUGCUUUGGAUAAGUUCAGAGCUUAUUUGAUAGGGUCUUCCAUUGUGGUAUUCACGGAUCAUUCAGCUUUGAAGUAUUAGCUAACCAAGCAAGAUGCCAAGGCUAGGUUAAUUAGGUGGAUACUUUUGCUUCAAGAGUUCAACCUCCAGAUCAGAGAUAAGAAAGGUGUUGAGAAUGUGGUAGCUGACCACUUGUCAAGGCUCAACAUUGCUCAUGACACCCAUGGACUUCCCAUAAAUGAUGAUUUCCCUGAGGAAUCCUUGAUGCUUGUGGAGGAAGUGCCAUGGUUUGCACACAUUGCCAAUUACUUGGUCACGGGAGAAAUACCAAGUGAAUGGAGCUCUCAGGACAAGAAGAAUUUCUUUGCCAAGGUCCAUGCAUAUUAUUGGGAGGAGCCUUUUCUCUUCAAAUAUUGUGCGGACCAAAUUAUAAGGAAGUGUGUUCCUGAACAAGAGAAGCAUGGGAUCCUAUCUCAUUGCCAUGAGAAUGCAUGUGGAGGCNNNNNNNNNNNNNNNNNNNNNNNNNNNNNNNNNNNNNNNNNNNNNNNNNNNNNNNNNNNNNNNNNNNNNNNNNNNNNNNNNNNNNNNNNNNNNNNNNNNNUACAAUCUCAGUUAAUAUUGGAGGAACCCAAGUGGAGAAGGCAUUGCUGAUUUGGGGGCAAGUGUUAACUUGCUUCCAUACUCUGUAUACAAGGAGCUGGGGUUGGGAGAACUCAAGUCAACAUCGAUCACCCUAUCCUUAGCUGACCGAUCAGUGAAAAUCCCCAGGGGGGUAAUAGAGGAUGUAUUGGUUCAAGUUGACAAAUUCUACUAUCCAGUAGAUUUUGUGGUGCUUGAUACGGAUCCCAUUGUCAAAGGGAUCAACUAUGUUCCAAUCAUCCUUGGAAGACCAUUCCUUGCAACAUCCAAUGCAAUCAUCAAUUGUAGGAAUGGGGUCAUGCAACUCACUUUUGGGAAUAUGACAUUGGAACUCAACAUCUUCCAUCUAUGUCAAAAGCACAUCCAUCCUGAAGAAGAUGAGGGCCCAGAAGAAGUUUGUAUGAUAGAUACCCUGGUGGAGGAGCAUUGUAAUCAGAGUAUGCUUGAUCAGUUUGAAGAGAAUCCAGAUGAAAGCCAUGAAGAUCUUGAUGAUGGGUUAGCUGAACCCAUGGGAAUGAAUGCCGUUAUGUCAAACUGGAGACAAAAGCCAGUGAUCCUCCCUUUGUUCAAGGAUGAGGAAGAGAUGAAAGAAGCUAAGGAUGUAAUCCUUAAGCUUGAAUUGAAGACCCUUCCUACCGAGUUGAAGUAUGCUUACUUGGAGGAAGGCAAUAAAGCCCCGGUGGUAAUUUCUUCUUCUUUAACCGUUUUACAAGAGGACAAUCUUCUAAGAAUCCUUAGAAAGCACAAGAAGGCAAUCGGAUGGCAAAUUUCUGAUUUGAAGGGGAUAAGCCCAUUGAUUUGCACGCACCAUAUUUAUAUGGAGGAGGGAGCUAAGCCAACUCGUCAGCCACAGAGAAGAUUGAAUCCUCAUAUGCAAGAGGUAGUAAGGGCUGAAGUGUUGAAGCUUCUUCAAGCGGGCAUCAUUUACCCCAUUUCGGAUAGCACUUGGGUGAGUCCAACCCAAGUUGUUCCAAAGAAGUCCGGGAUAACCGUAGUCAAGGGGGAAAAUGGAGAUGAAGUGUCCACACGCCUCACAACUGGUUGGAGGGUGUGCAUUGACUACAGGAAGCUGAACGCAGUAACGAGAAAGGAUCACUUCCCUUUACCUUUCAUGGAUCAAGUCCUUGAGAGAGUAUCUGGGCAUCCUUUUUAUUGCUUCUUGGAUGGGUAUUCCGGGUAUUUUCAAAUAGAGAUUGCUGUGGAGGACCAGGAGAAGACUACCUUCACUUGUCCAUUCGNNNNNNNNNNNNNNNNNNNNNNNNNNNNNNNNNNNNNNNNNNNNNNNNNNNNNNNNNNNNNNNNNNNNNNNNNNNNNNNNNNNNNNNNNNNNNNNNNNNNNNNNNNNNNNNNNNNNNNNNNNNNNNNNNNNNNNNNNNNNNNNNNNNNNNNNNNNNNNNNNNNNNNNNNNNNNNNNNNNNNNNNNNNNNNNNNNNNNNNNNNNNNNNNNNNNNNNNNNNNNNNNNNNNNNNNNNNNNNNNNNNNNNNNNNNNNNNNNNNNNNNNNNNNNNNNNNNNNNNNNNNNNNNNNNNNNNNNNNNNNNNNNNNNNNNNNNNNNNNNNNNNNNNNNNNNNNNNNNNNNNNNNNNNNNNNNNNNNNNNNNNNNNNNNNNNNNNNNNNNNNNNNNNNNNNNNNNNNNNNNNNNNNNNNNNNNNNNNNNNNNNNNNNNNNNNNNNNNNNNNNNNNNNNNNNNNNNNNNNNNNNNNNNNNNNNNNNNNNNNNNNNNNNNNNNNNNNNNNNNNNNNNNNNNNNNNNNNNNNNNNNNNNNNNNNNNNNNNNNNNNNNNNNNNNNNNNNNNNNNNNNNNNNNNNNNNNNNNNNNNNNNNNNNNNNNNNNNNNNNNNNNNNNNNNNNNNNNNNNNNNNNNNNNNNNNNNNNNNNNNNNNNNNNNNNNNNNNNNNNNNNNNNNNNNNNNNNNNNNNNNNNNNNNNNNNNNNNNNNNNNNNNNNNNNNNNNNNNNNNNNNNNNNNNNNNNNNNNNNNNNNNNNNNNNNNNNNNNNNNNNNNNNNNNNNNNNNNNNNNNNNNNNNNNNNNNNNNNNNNNNNNNNNNNNNNNNNNNNNNNNNNNNNNNNNNNNNNNNNNNNNNNNNNNNNNNNNNNNNNNNNNNNNNNNNNNNNNNNNNNNNNNNNNNNNNNNNNNNNNNNNNNNNNNNNNNNNNNNNNNNNNNNNNNNNNNNNNNNNNNNNNNNNNNNNNNNNNNNNNNNNNNNNNNNNNNNNNNNNNNNNNNNNNNNNNNNNNNNNNNNNNNNNNNNNNNNNNNNNNNNNNNNNNNNNNNNNNNNNNNNNNNNNNNNNNNNNNNNNNNNNNNNNNNNNNNNNNNNNNNNNNNNNNNNNNNNNNNNNNNNNNNNNNNNNNNNNNNNNNNNNNNNNNNNNNNNNNNNNNNNNNNNNNNNNNNNNNNNNNNNNNNNNNNNNNNNNNNNNNNNNNNNNNNNNNNNNNNNCAAAGCUUGCCAUCUUCCCGUUGAGAUUGAGUUCAAGGCAUGGUGGGCCAUUAAAAAGCUCAACAUGGAUUUAACUAAGGCUGGGCUAAAGAGGAGUUUGGAUUUAAAUGAGCUUGAGGAAUUGAGAAAUGAUGCCUAUCUCAACUCAAAAAUAGCUAAGGAAAAGCUAAAGAGAUGGCAUGAUCAGUUGGUGACCAAGAAAGAAUUUUUCAAGGGACAAAGAGUCUUGCUAUAUGACUCUAAGCUUCACCUAUUUCCGGGAAAGCUCAAAUCAAGGUGGGUAGGGCCUUUUGUCAUCCACCAAGUACACUCACAUGGAGUAAUUGAGUUACUCAACUCAAAUAGUGCAAAGACCUUUAAGGUCAAUGGCCAUCGUCUCAAGCCAUUCAUUGAACCAUUCAAGCAAGACAAGGAGGAAAUCAACCUCCUUGAGCCACAGAAAGCCUAAUCAGAAAAGGGUUAGAUGGGCUUGGUUUCACCAAAGUCCAUAUUUUUUGUUUAAGUUUAUUAAUUUAGAAGCUUUAUUAACUCUUUUGAUUUUGAUUUUGGUCUAAAGUUUUGUUAAUUAUAAGUAACUUCCUCUUUUUGAAUGAUCUUUUGUAGGAAGAUUUGCAAAGAAUAUGAAGGAAGGUCUCAGAGGGCCAAAAGGAGCUUAAAGCUAUGAAAUUUUAGUGGUCUGCGAAAUUUUGCAGCCCAAAAUAGGCCCCUGCGAAAAAGUCCAUCUGCUGCGAAAUCAUUUCGCAGCCCUUACAUGGCCUCUGCGAAAUCAAGGUUUGGCUGCGAAUGGCCCUCCGCUGCGAAAUAAAUUUCGCAGCCCAACACCCUCCUCUGCGAAAAUUUUCGCAGCUGCGAAACCACCUCUUGGCACUCGUGUGCCAUUUCGCAGCACAGUAACUCCAUUUCGCAGCUGCGAAAUGGCUGCGAAAUCCCCAAAGCGUCAAAUCUUCAAUUUUCACAGCGAUAGCCUCAUUUCGUAGGGUGUUUCGCAGCUGCGAAACACCCCUUUGGCACUCGUGUGCCAUUUCGCAGCACAGUAACCCAAUUUCGCAGCUGCGAAAUGGGCUGCGAAAAGGGCCCUCCUCUGCGAAAAUGCUUUUUUGUUGCGAAAUCAGCCCUCCUCUGCGAAAAUUAAAGUGACCCUUGGUAUCCAAUUUUUAACAGUAUAAAUUCCAAAUUUCUAAUAUAACCGGUCAUUUGAACUUUAAAUAGUACCAGAGAAGACCCAAAAACAGAGCAACCUUCCAUCUUCUCCCUCUCGCCUGAACCUCGGCCGCGCACCUCCGCCCAUCUCCGCCGGCCCGCCAUGGCAAGAACUCGAGGAGCUAAGUCCUCCUCCCCGUCAAGCCGUACGAGGGCUUCAUCAAAGACCCCUGUCCAAGGCUCCACAUCCGAGCCUCCGCGACCACCGCGCGUCUCACCUCCAGUUGAGGGCGCACCAAUGAGCCCUCCAGUCAGGCGCUAUCAUACACGGGCGAGUAGCCAGCCACCCAAGAAGAAAGCUAAGGUAUCUGAGCCAGUAUUAAUUGAUUUAUCAGAGCCAGAAGAGCCAGCUACAGAGCCUCAGCCGUCUCAGCCGUCUCAGCCAGCUUCAGGGUCUCGGCCGUCUCAGCCGUCUCAGCCGUCUCAGCCAGCUUUAGAGCCUCAGCCGUCUCUGCCGCCGCCUACAGAUUCUCAGAUCCCCUCCGGCAUGACUCCUGAGAUGAUUAUCAAGCGCCCCAUGCUCACUCAGCCGCCCAUAGAGGGUAAUUUAGACUGCAGGGCUAGGCCUUUCCACUCUGAGCUCUGUUUUGACGUGGCCGCUUUCAGACUUCAGCCCCAGCUCAAGGACUCCUUCCAUCUGCUCCGGAGGUAUCAUAUGGAACAAUUGCUUACUCCAAGGGAUUUCUUUUAUCCCCGUGUGGCAAUGGAUUUUUAUCAAUCCAUGACCACACACCAUGUCCGAGAUCCUACUGUCAUCCACUUCACCAUAGACGGACGUCAUGGUAUUCUGGGAGCUAGGCACAUAGCAGAGGCAUUGCGCAUUCCCUACGAGCCAGCUAGGCCAGAGGAUUAUCGAGUCUGGACUAAUCCUUCCCCGAGCGACAUAGUUCGUAUUCUGUCCAGAGGGGCAUCCACAGGCCAGUAUCUACAGAGGAAGGAGCUCCCUCCUAGCAUGUUUUUCAUAGAUGCUCUCCUCCGCCACAAUAUCUUUCCACUACAGCACUGGGUGCAGAGGCGAGGAGCUUUGCUGGAGGCUUUAUAUCGGAUAUCUGAGGGAUUCUUCUUUGGCCCUCAUCAUCUCAUUAUGGCCGCCCUUCUGUAUUUUGAAGAGAAGGUCCAUCAGAAGAAGCUGCUUAGAGUUGAUGCCAUUCCUCUACUGUUCCCCAGAUUGUUAUGUGGAACACUUGGGCUACCCAACUGAGCCUCAAUUUGAGGGCAAACGGAUUUGUCGAGAGAUAUUCACUCUUGACAAAUGGACGAAUAUGACAGCCUAUAGUGCAGAGCCAGGGGCCCUAGCUGGAGUAGAGCAUCCAGGGAUUCCACAUGCAGAGCAGCCACAGGAGCCACAGCCCAUAGAGACACCAGCUGACACGAGAGCACCUGCCCCUGCAGUGCCCUCUGCAGAGCCCAUACCUGAGGUUGCACCCUCUGCUGAUCCUACCACACCACAGCCUCCCCCUGUUUUUUCAGCCACAUCACAGCCCUCCUCUUCAGCAGAGCCGAGGACUUCCAUAUCCAUUUCCGAGUACAGAGCUCUAUGUCACACUUUGCAGACAUUGACCACUUCACAGAGCACUCUUACUCAGGAGAUGGCUGCUCUUCAUGCUCAUCAGGAGCAAAUUAUUGCUACUCAGACUCAGCAUACUGCCAUUCUGAGGCAGAUUCAGAGCCAUCUGGGUAUUCCAUCAGCUCCUCAGCACCAGAUGCCUGCCCCUUUAGAGCCUACAGAGCCGACUCCAGUGGACACACAGACAUCCACCUGAGUCAUUAUCUUCACAUCAUCAGCACCCAUCUACUUGAUCAUUUCCAUAGUUUACUUUACGUAUUUUCUUUAUGCAUUUUCUUAUUAUAGUAGCACUUGCAAUCCCAUGCUUUUGUUAUGAUAUAUAUUGGGAUUGGUUGUAUUACUUGUUAUUAUCUUUAAUGUACUAUCAUGAAGUAAUACAACUCUAUCAUUUUUUGCAUACUCUUGGUAUUAUUUUAUUUUUAUUCCUCUACUCAUAUCUAUUUUCUUUUUGAAACAUGUGGUUUCUCCUUAUCUCCUCAAAUUACAUACCACUCAGGAGGCACCACUUCCUCCCUAUAAUUUCAAUCGCUCAUGCCACAUUGAGGACAAUGCUCAGCUUGGUUGGGGGGGGGGGGGGGGGGGGGACAGUUGAGGAAGGAAGUUUUUUUUUUAUUAUUAUUGUUAAUACUAAAAAUAUUGGGAAAUUUGGGUUAUUUUUUUUAAAUUUUAAAAAUUUUUCCCAUGGGUGUUAAAAAAAAAUUUCCAAAAAAAAAAAAAGAAAAAUCCAGUUUUAANNNNNNNNNNNNNNNNNNNNNNNNNNNNNNNNNNNNNNNNNNNNNNNNNNNNNNNNNNNNNNNNNNNNNNNNNNNNNNNNNNNNNNNNNNNNNNNNNNNNUCUAUCAUUUCUUACAUUAUCGAGGUAUUAUUUUAUUUUUAUUCCUGAACUCAUAUGGAUUUUAUUUUAGCAACAAGGGGUUUAUCCUUGACUCCUCUAAUUACUUACCACUCAAGAGGCACCCCUUCCUCCCUAUAAUUUCAAUCGUUCAUGCCCCCAAGAGGACAAUGUUCAGCUUGUUUGGGGGGGGGGGGGGGGGGGGGACAGUUGAGGAAGGAAGUUUUUUUUUUAUUAUUAUUGUUAAUACUAAAUAUAUUGGUAAUUUAGGUUACUUUUGUUUAAUUUUUAAAAUUUUUCUCUAUGGUUGUUAAAGAUAAUUUCUCAAAAAUAAAAUAGGAUAAGUCGAGUUGUAACUUAAUUAUUUAAGUCUUUGAGUUUGUUUUAUGCUUUCAAAGUUGAUAAUCUAUUAAAGCUCUCUUUGAUUUCGAACUUAUUUCUUCCAUUUCAAGCUUUACACACACAGUGCACAUUAGAUCCCGGAUAUAUGAUGUAAAACUUUCUCACCUUCUAAGCUUAGGAAAAUUUUGACUUGGUUCAUUUCUUAACUUCUCUUUAAUAGUGUUGGGACACCUCAUAAAGGCCAAUGAGUCUUUCAAAAAAAAAAAAGAAAAAAAAGAAAAAAAAAAAAAAAGGAAUAAGCUUCUAUUCUUUCCUUAAAACCUAAGCAUGAUCCGAAGGGGUGGCGAAAGCCUUUAAAACCCGAUGCCCUAAACCUUGAUUGGUUGGGAGUCAUCGAUUCUCUGCUUGCUACAUAGGUGAAUUGGUUAAAGUUUAGUGAGUAAAAAGAAUUGUGAAUAAGAAGGUGCGUUCCUAACCUAUUAAGAGUUGGUUAAUUUUACCUUUGUUCGAGAAAAGCUUAGGUUGGAGGGUGAGGAUAGUUGUGUAUACUAUAUCCGGAACCUAAUCUCGUUAACACUUAGCUCAUUAUGGAAGAGUUUGAUUUGGAACCUUGAGAGUAGAGAUCUUUUGAUACUUAAUUGCAUAAUCUCCACUCUUUGUACUUUUUGUUUAAGUUUUAGCUUUGACAACUCCUAUUGCAUUUUGAAUCUUCAUAUCUUUAGUUCACCAUGUGAGAUGUGUUUUGAUAUCGGUCAUGCCACUCAAUUUGUUUUUUUUUGGAAUGAUUUGCAUGACCUCUUUUAUGUUUAUUACUUUGUUUGCUUAGUUUUUCUCUCCUUAAUUGCUAAGGGACUAGCAAUAUGUCGGUUGGGGGGAGUGAUUACUACUCAAAAAGGGCUAUUUGAUAGCUUGUAAUUAACUCUUUUAAACAAUUUUGAGUAGUAGUUAUUGCCUUUUAACCCAAUUAGCAUAUUGAGGACCUUUGCAAUCACUUCUAAUCAUUUUGUGUAAGUUUUGGUGUUUUUGUUAGUAAUUUGAUCACCAAAGCAACCCAAGGUGGGGGAGAGUUAUUUGGAAUCCAUGGCAAAGCAAUGGAAAGCUCAGAAACAUGAAGAAUCAGAGCUUUGAAGCCUUAAAGUCCUUUGCCAUAACCAAUCCGGAAUGCAAGGAGGAGAAGUAAAGAGAGAAUCUACCUUGAAGCAUUCUUGAUGACAGUCAUUUCAGCCACUUUUGGAGUACUUCCUGAAGUCCAAUUUAUGCAUGCUUUAUGUUGUUUCGAAGAUCGGGAAGUCAACAAUCCAAUGCUUCAAAUGGUUCGCAAAUCAGAGUUGAAAUGAAGAAGUUAGAGCCAAUGGAAGCAGAUCACUCCAAGCUGAAGGCCAAUUUCGCAGGGCUGCGAAAUCAGCCUUUGGCUGCGAAAUCAGCCUUCGGCUGCGAAAUGAUUUCGCAGCCAUCUUGUUCGUCUGCGAAAUUUCGCAGCCAUUUUGUGCGCCUGCGAAAUUCUCCUGAGUGCUUCCAGAUAUUUGCCACCAACGUUUUUUGUUAUUUUGCCUCAGAUAUUUGCUGUCUAAAUCCCAAUUCUCUCCUUGUAAUCCACCAAUUAGAUGAUUCCUUAGUUGUUAAGCAAGGAUACAGGGGUAAACAACCUAUUAUAUAUUGUUUUGUAAGUUUCAUUUUAAGGGUCGUCGGGGAAUUUUCUCCAAAAGACCAUCUUUUGUAAAGUUUACACUUAGCUAAAUACAGAGUAUCUUUUGCUUUCUUUUUCUCUCUUCUAUUUUCUAUUUUCUUAGUAGCCAAACAUCCUUGGAGGAUGAAAUCCCCAAGGAUGAGAGGCUAAAACCUUUUAGUUUCUUGAAGUAAUGGAUGCCAUGUGAAGCUCCCGUGUCAGGAUGGAGAUUUCCAAGCCAUGAAUGUAAGUAGCUGAGCGUCAUAAAUGUUUUCAUUCAAAGUAAAGCUUUUAAUCCCUCUGACUUGCUUUGAAUGGCCAAUACUUGAUAACCUUUUGGUCUCAGUGGAUUCUUAUUGUUAGAUCCACUGAUGUUCAUUAGUUAUCUCCUACGAGCCAUUGUAUUGCAAGUCGAGGAGAUGACCUAUAUCAUUAAAAGAGCAUUUAUGAGGUUCAACUACCCUUUUUGUAAGUUUUCAAGGACUAAAACUCAGUUGUUAAACUCAUACCGGUUCGGGAAGUAAGCAUCACCUUAGUUGCUUCCCCAACUCGAGGUGAAAAGUCCCAAAAUCUCCAUUUUUACACAGUGAGUUAAGCAUGGCUAUCCAAAGCUUUGAGAAACUUCUUUUUCCAUCUUUUAACCUAUUUUCAUGUUAGUUUAGUUUACACACCUUCAUCUUUUUAUGUUUUCAUCUUAACCUAAUUUUUAUUAAGAAAAGUUCACUCCAUCCUCCGAACUUCACCAGUUAAAGUAAAAACCCUUCCCAGUGUUCGAUCCUAGAGCCACUAUGCUAUAGUAGCUUUGCUACUUUAGUGUAAGGACCUUAGGUAUAAAUUUUGUUGAUACCCUUACAUGCCAAGCUACCAAGAGUCGGGUUAUCAGUUAUCAGGAAAAAUGCCAGAAUGGAUUGGAGAAAGCCUCCCAAAUCUAAUUGUUCUAAACCUAGGAUCUAAUAGAUUCAGUGGAGGGAUAUGUCUAGAGCUCUGUCGGUUGAAAAAUAUUCAAAUAUUGGACCUCUCUAGCAACAAUAUGUUAGGUGUUAUACUGAGAUGUUUUGGUGGUUUCACUACCAUGACUAAGAAAGGGAGCUUGGUGAUUGCUCAUAAUUAUUGGUUUGAACAGUUUGGUGAUGGCUGCUUUGAUGAUGGCGGGAUAUUUAUGAACUCCUCUUACGUUGAUAGGGCAUUGGUUAGAUGGAAAGGAAGAGAAUUUGAGUAUAAAAGUACCCUUGGGCUUGUAAAGAGUAUUGAUCUUUCAAGCAACAAACUAUCGGGGGAAAUUCCAGAAGAAGUAAUUGAUCUUGUAGGAUUAGUUUCAUUAAACUUAUCAAGGAACAAUUUUAUUGGACUGAUCCCUACAAUAAUUGGUCAAUUGAAAUCAUUAGAGGUUUUUUAUUUGUCUCAAAAUCGAAUUUUUGGCAAAAUUCCAACUAGCCUUGUUGAAAUAAGUGGUCUAAGUGUCUUAGAUCUCUCUAACAACAACUUUUCCAGUAAAAUUCCACAAGGUACUCAACUUCAAAGCUUCAAUAUUGAUUCCUACAAGGGAAAUCCUACACUUUGUGAAUUGCCUCUUUCGAAAAAGUGUUCUAAAGAUAAAAUAAAACAAGAUUGUCUCAUUCAUAACAUUGAAGACAAAAUUCAGCAAGAUGGAAAUGACAUGUGGUUUUAUGUUAGUGUUGCUCUUGGAUUCAUUGUUGGAUUUUGGGGAGUGUGUGGAACUUUACUACUCAAUAACUCAUGGAGAUAUGCCUAUUUCCAAUUCUUGAAUAAAAUAAAAGAUUGGUUGUACGUGAUUAUAGCAAUAAAUAGGGCUAGAUUACAAAUGAGUCUUCAAAGCUAAAUGGUACAAUUCUCUCCCUCUCUCCCUCCUUUUCAUUUGUACUUGUUUUUGAAGGCCAACAAUGGUAAAAGAAAAGUAGGCCUUUACAUAUCCUUGGGAUAUACUUUAUAAAUCACAAAUGCUAAUGUAAAUUUUCUUUCCAUGCAACUAACUGAAGAGACUUUUUCAAAUUGAUGAACAUUGAUUUUUUACUUUGUGUUAAUUGCAGGACUUCAACUCUUGUUCUUGCCAUAUUAGCAUGAUUGAAUACAAAUCGCUAUGUCCUUCAUUAAUCUAUGAUUGAUUUUGGGAUGUAAUAGGUUUCUUGUUUUAUUUUGAUGAUUACUUAUGUUCUUUAGAUGCUUAUUUUAUCUUUUAUUCAAAAGUUUAUGUGACAUAUUAUCUAUUUUCUUCCUUACACAAUGCUUUUAUUUGGUAUUUGGAUACUUUAUGAUUCAUCCAAACAAUAUUAUAGAAGGAUAUCAAAGGUAUAUUAGAGUAUGACUUUCUAAUUUUAAAAAUAUUUCUUUAGCUCUAAAACUAAUUUUUAUUCAUUAAAAUUAAAACAAAAUAAAGGAUAAUGCUAUUUGGUUAUGUAUGACAUAAGUUUUUGACCAAUUAUUAAUAAUCAAAUCAUAAUUUCAACACUAAAGAAAAAAGAAAAUUUUUUCGCAAGUUACUAAUGAUCUGUUUCUCUCUUUCUAAAAAAACUAAAUUACUCUUAUAAAUGCGAAACUAUUUCUUUCUUGUCAUCAAAGCUUUCUCACAUGUAGAUAAUUUUUGUGAAAUCUUUUGUUUUCAUCCAUUUUUUUGCUUAUAUCAAGUUAACUUCGUUUUCUUCUUAGUGGUUGAUUUUAUGGAAUAUUAAGUCUAACUUCUUUUCUUAAUAAAAGGCUUUUUCUAAGCAAUUAAAAAACUCUUGUUCUUUUCUUUAUUUUAACAUAAUCCAACUAUAGGAUAACUAAAAUAUGAUUGAAAAAUAUAAAAUAGGAGAGAAUAAUUAUAUUCUAAUUAUACUCUAUAAAUAAUAUCAAAUAUUUUCUUCACUUAUUAGAAAAUAGUACUGAACUCCAACAUCAUGAGAUUAACAUCCCAAUGAUCUUUUUUUAUUUGUUAAAAAUUCUUAUCUUUCGAGGUACAUAACAAAAUUCCUUAAACACUUUAGCCCAAUGAUCUCAUGUUGUUUUGUUUUAAUUUUUUUUAUCCUUUCCCAUCUUUUUGAGGUCCUCCAUAGCUAGGAUUACUCUUUGUGAGAAUUUACUCAAAAAGCCAUUAAGAAUCAAGUCCUUUCGAUUUACUCUUUAUGAUAAAAUCUUUUAUCUAAAAUAUUUUUCAUGAAACGAUAAUUCUCUACUAUGAUUUUUUAAAUUUAAAAUUAUAAAAGACUUCAAUUCUUAUUAAAAAUAUUAUUUAUAUUAAUAUUUUCUUUUGAACUCUUUCUAUUAGGACAAGUAAUGACCGUGUAGACCCCUCAUUUUGGUUCUAGAGGAGACUUAUUUUUUCUGGUCACCUUUCGUUCUGUUUUCACCUUUUGGAAGGUGAGCUCUAAUAAGCAGGUGGCAAAAGAGGAUAUUCUGGUCGUAGGCUGUGAGGGUAAGACACUGUGGCAGUGAGGUUUUGGUGUUUCUGCUGGUUGUUUUAGAGAAAGUAGUGGAGUGUCUUGGUAGCAGGAAGAGUUAGGGGGUUGUUAGAGGGCAGUAGAAAAUGUCCUCUGCAGGUAUCCAUCACCAUUUGGUUGGCGUAUUGGAGAAGUAUUGCAUUGGACCAGCAUGAGAUGGUAAGAAACUCCCAACUUAAUUUGGAGCGAUACCUUUGUUUUCAUGCUGAGUACCAGAGUUGGGACUAGGAAUUUGAUCACUAACAAGAAUAGUGAGCAUUUUAGGUUGAAUGAGGGUCCUUCGAGAAUCUACGGAUGAUGGCCACUUGAUUUUGGAGUUGGGGAACUAAUUUUCUCACUGCUGAUGAUAUGAGUGUCAUACUAGUUGCAAAACUGAAGAGAAGAUUGGGAUGUGAAAUGUGGGCAAAAUUACAUUUGACUGGCAUGCAUGUUGAUAAGGGUAUCACUGGAGAUCAGGUAGAGGUAGGUGGCCUUUCUAGGGGUUUUUAGACAGAAAAUGUGCUUUCCGAUAGGUAACCUAACCCUUGGACCCAACUUGGUCCUUCCACCAAGUCUCAACCUUGUUAAAUGUCAUAAAUUCUCUAAGUUCAGGCUGCCUCUAGAAUGCAAUUAAUAAUAUUAAAAUGUUACUAUUAAAAGAUAAUUAAUGAUAAUAAAUAUAGUUUAUGAAAUUUGAAUAUUUUUAUUCUAACAACCUAUAAAUAGAAUAACAACUUGACUAAUAUUAAAAUAUAUCAUUUGUAAAGAAAUGUAUCAUAUGUAUAGCUUGUUGAAAUUUGAAUAUCUUUGUUAUAGUCACAUAUAAAUAAAAUAAUAAAUUUGUUGAUAUUAAAAAUGUAUAUUUAUUUAGAAAGUUUGUAUAAGGAAAGUGACAAAUUGACUGAUCAUAUUAAAAAUAUAUUUAUUUAGAAAACAUGUGACAUUUUUCUCAUCAUAUUCUUCAUAUUUGUAAGAAAGGUAUCAAAAGUGUCCUAAAAAUUAAAUUUGUUAUUCACUCUACUUGGAUAAGUAUCCUAAAAAUUUUCAAUGCUAGUUCACAUGCAUUCUAUAUCAACUUCUCGUUAGAUUGCUAGUGCACCUCACGUGCCUCAUCUUGCAUACUAAAAAUUUUCAUAAUGAACUCGAAAAUGCAUUUUCAUGUUAUUUCCAUUUCCAAGUCAAGACCAAAUACAUAUUAAAAUCAAACACAUAUAUAGCUAAAACUAAAAGGUUGAAGGGGCUUAUUUAUGCAAAACAUCCAAAUAUCUUGAAACCUUUUCUUUUCUUUUUGUUUGCUAAAUGUUUCAUAGAGAGAAAGUAGAUCACCCCAACCUGUGAUAAGGGUUCUUCAAAAUGAACAAUGUUAAUGGAAACAGUAAGUGUAUUUUGUGUAUUGGAAAUUUCGGGUCAAUCAUAGCUCAUAUUCUUCAAAUCCUCCCUUGUACACUUGCCUUUUCCAAAUUGUUCGUGCUUGAAGAUGACUAAAGGAAUUGGUAAGUGCAUUUGAGGUGAUGGAUGAUGGAAAACAAUGAUCAAUUGUAUUUUAAUUUAAUUUUUUAUCCUUUUAUUGGAAAAUGAAAUUAAAGCUUAAAAGUGUAAAACAUUGUGUUUAAAACAUUUGGAUCGGUUUUUCAUCAAUCGAACUAAAGAGUAACAAUUUAUCUUGAACACAGAUUUUUUAGUCUUGUCUAAUCGAUCAUAUUUCAAUCACACCUAUGAAUUUUCAUGAUUUUCCAAACAAAUCUCAAUCAUUGGUAGAGUUUCAAAACACUAAUACAAAAGCUCUCUUUUGAGUCGUGGAAAGAUGAGUGUGAGAGUAAAAACCUUUGGUUUUUGUGCUUCAAGUUUUUCUUACUAUAUUGGGGAGUGUUUGCCUUAUGAAAAAAAUUUAUGAGUUUCAAUUGAAAAUCAGUUUUUGAGUAAAAAAUCUUUAGUUCCAAAUGGGUUGAUUCAUUGUGUUCUUCAUCCUACCUCUCAUAUUUCUCUCAUAUCUAACUUAUUGUGGUAAAACCCAAGAUUCUUCCUUUGUGGACUCAAGAAAAGGCCGAGAUCAAAGCUUAGAGUGGAUUCCAAGUGUUUUCCUAAAGAAGAAUGAUGGUAGGUAAAGCUUGAAGGUUCUAGGCAAGUGGUCCAAGAAAUAAUGUAAGACUUGGGCUAGGUAAAACCUUGUACUCAACUAUUUUUUCUUCAUAAUGGAUUAUUUGAUUGUUUGAGGCCUGUGGUUUUUUAUCUUUUUAGAGGUUUUCCGUGUUAAAAAAAUUGGUGCCAUUGUCUAUUUUUUCUAUCUUGUCUUUUGAUUAGCAUUUCAUGAGCUUAUGAUAUUUUUCAUUGUUUUAUGGUGAUUGAAUUAAUUGGAGCAUGAGCUAAAAUGUGUCUAUUGAAUCUUUGAAAGAACAAGAUAUAUGUUAGUUGUUGAUUGAUGAUAAGGGGCAUGUGAAAAAACGUUUUUAUAUUGAUGCAAUGUUUUAUAUAUUAGGUUUGGGGAGUGUUGUUUCAUUUGCAUGUGACUUGCAUUGAAUAACUUGUUUAGGAGAGCGUUGGUGCAUCCAUUGUUGCUUGUGAUUCGCUUGUUUGUUCAUAAGGUUGAAAAAGAAAAUCAUUGUAUAAGGGAAAAAUAGGGGAAUUGUGAGAAUUUAUGAGAUACCAUCUGUAAUUGUUUUAAAAAACACCUAUUCAUCCCCCUCUAGGCAUUAUCCAUAAGUGAGAUUCACCUUCAAUUGGAAUUAGAGUGAGUUUCAAAGCAAAAAUCAUUGUCGAUCCUUAAAUCUCAAAUAUGGAACCUCAUCAAGAGGGUGCACCUAUUGGGAUACCCCCCUUUUUAAUUGGUGAAAAUUAUUCUCAUUGGAAAGUAAGAAUACAAUAUUUUCUCAAAAUGCAAAGUGAAAAAGUAUGAAAUGCCGUUGAAUUUGGUUGGCCUCCACCUAAGGUGUUGGAUAGAGAAGGUAGACUAACAAAUGUGAUCAAGCUUAAAUUGGAAUGGGAUAGAGGUGAAAAUGAAGCUAGUGAGAACAAUGUUAGGGCCAUGUAUUCCAUCUUCAAUGCCAUUAGCAUGGAUGAAUUUCGUAGGAUUGCUACUUGUACCUUAGCUAAGGAAGCUUGGGACAUCCUCCAAGUGACUCAUGAAGGAACCAAUGCUGUUAAAGUGCCUAAACUUCAAAUGUUGACCUCUAGGUUUGAGAUAAUUAGGAUGGAAGAUCAUGAGAAUUUUGGAGAGUUUCAUGCAAAAUUGAUGGAUAUUGUGAAUUCUAGUUUUAAUCUAGGUGAACCCAUACCUAAUUCUGAAAUGGUUAGAUAGAUUCUAAUGUAUCUUUCGGAGAGAUUUAGAGCAAAAGUCACCGCCAUUGAAGAGUCCAAAGUUGUGGAUUCCUUAAAGAUUGAUGAACUUGUAGGUUCCCUCCAAACCUUUGAAAUGACCCUUGUAUCACCUAAGAAAGUUAAGGGAAUUGCUUUAAAAGCUAUUAAAGAAGAGUCUCUAAGUUUCAAAAGUGAGGAUGAUGAGAAAAUGUUAGAAGAUGAGCUUACCAAGUUUGCUAAAAAAUUCAAGAAGUACAUGAAAUUCAGAAAACCUAAGAAGGAAUCAAAUGAUGGUAAAAAAUGGAGGAACUCAAUUAGGAAAAAGAAGAAGUUGGAAAAAGAUGUGAAAAAAGACUUGAAAAUUGAGUGUUUUAAUGGUGGGGGAAAUCAUCACUAUGCAUUUGAAUGUCCUUCAAAGAAAAAGAAUAAUAAGGCCAUGCACGUUACUUGGAGUGACUCUGAGUCUAAUCGAACAAGUGAAAAUGAAUCAAAUGUAUAUGAUGAAUGCACUAAAUUCAUAACCUUUGCUGCAACUAUCAAAGGGGAACCUCUCUUAAAAAAAGCUACAAGUGAGUUAAUUGAGUCAAGUGACUCCAAUGAUUAUUACAUGAGUUUUGACACGGCAUAUGAGACUUUGUAUAAGGAGUGCUUAAGCCUUAAACAAGAACAAGUUAAGUGGACGACUUCUAAUAAGAUUUUAACCAAUGGGAUUGAUGUUUUAAAGAGAAAAAAGAAGACUUUGCUUGACAAAAUUGCAUUUCUUGAAAAUGAACAUUUGGAAGUGAAGAAAAAGUGUGAUGUGUUGAAAAAUGAAAGUCAAAUGUUCAAGGAUGAGUUAAGUGUUGGGAAGGAAGAGUCAUAUCCUAGCUUUAAGAGAGUUAAUGAGUUGAUCAAUUCAAGGAGAAAAUCUUUUGAUAAAAGAGGUCUAAGAUUUGUUGAUGGAAAUGCUACUCUAAGUAACGCUAAGAUAGUUUUUGCUAAGCCUUGUGAAGAAAAAUUUCCUAAGAAAAUUCAUUCUCAUAUCAAGUUUCAUUGCACUCAUUGUGGAAAAGUGGGGCACACUUUUGAUAGAUGUUAUGCAACAUUAUUUGAUAAUUUUCAAAGGAAAUUGACCAACCUAAUGAAUGAAUGUCAUGCAUUGAAGGAUAGGUUGUUGAAUGUGAACAAGAGAGUGUCUAAGAAGCCUUUAAAUAUCCCUUAUAAUGGUGAGUUGAAAUGGAGCACCUCAAAUGGAAAAAAUGAAGGCAUUAAAUGUCAAAUAAGUUUAGGUGAAAAAGAAAGAGCUUAAGUGUCUUGUUGUCCAUAGCACACUUACAGUUAGUGGGUCACACCCAUGGUAUCUUUAUAGUGGAUGUUCACGCCAUAUGAUUGGAAAUAAAUAUUUUUUCAGAUCACUGAUUUUGAUGGAGCAAAUGUUACAUUUGGGGAUGGUAAUGUGACUAGAAUGAAAGGAAAAAACUCUAUAUGUGCUUUAGGCAUUCCUAAGCUUGAAGAGGUCUUCUAUGUGGAAGGUUUAAAGGCCAACUUAAUAAGCAUCAGCCAAUUAUGUGAGAAUAAUCUCAAUGUCCAAUUUUCAUAAAAUGUGUGCAAGGUGUUUGACUUGAAUGGUGAUUGUGUGAUGAUUAGCUUGAAAACUUUUAAUAAUUGCUAUGUUGUUUGUCAAAAUAAGCUAUUUCAUCUUCUUCUCUUGUGUUUGAAAGUUCUAAAAUUGAUUUUGUUGAUCACUUGUGGCAUAAUAGAUUGGUUCAAAAAUGAAAAUGGGUGUGUCAUUCUAAAGAUUAGGAGUGAUAGGGGAGGGAAAUGGAUGAUGUUUGUGUCAUUUAUAGAUUAGAGAAUCAUCUUCAUCAUUUUAGAGUCAAACUCAUUGGCAUUAGACAUUGCUCUAAUCAAGACUUGAUGGAAGACAAACUUGUUUCCUUCAAAUAUGUUCCUACUGAGUGUCAAAUGGUUGAUAUCCUCACUAAGCUUUUGGAUGUUUCCAGGUAUGAGUCACUUAGGAACUCCCUAGGCUUAUGUUUUCUGAGUUGAUUGUCUUUAAGGCCUUUCUAUGACAUCUCUUCUUGUAUAUUUUUUCUUCCUAGAGGUUUCAUAGGCUUAUUGAGUCCUUGUGUUGCCUUGUUUUUCUUUUUUCAUGGUUAUCAUUCUUUUUGUUUGUUUUGGUAUUUCCUUAAACCCUUUUUCCUCUCUAGUUUAAAAAUAGAUGUUUGUUUUUAUGAGGACUUGGCAUUGUUUUCUUUUUAGCAAAUGGUUAUUUUGUGUCAUAAUGAUCCAAAAGUCUUCCAAGACAUGAAAAUCCUUCUCGUGUUGGUGUGAGAUGGAGCAUAACAUGCUUAUUGUUUAGCUUUGCUUGGAUAAGCUGCAAGAUACUUAUUUCAUAUCCAUUGAGUGAUCAACAACUUGUGCAGUGUUUUAUGAUUUCAUAAAACCUAACAAAUGAUUUUUAAAGUUCAACAUUUGGUUUAUAUCAUUCAGUGUGCCUUAAAGAUUGAGUAAAGUCACAUGAAUCUUCUUGAGAAAUUGAAUUUGUGUCUCUUGAUUGUUUACACUCUCCCAAAUAAAAAAAAGAAUAUUAUUCAUUUCUCAGAAUGGUUAAAGCACCUUGGCGAUGUUUCAAGUGUAAAAAGCCUCCAUUACAAAAGUGGGGCAUUCCUUUAUGUUUGAAAUGACAUAUUUGUAUUGGCCACCUUAGUGAUCUCCAAGUCAAUAUUCUAUCCUAAGUGUGUUGUCAGCAUGUUAUCAAAACAAAUAAAAAAUAAAAAUGAAAACAAGAUGUGAUUUUGUUUGCAUGUCAAGGGAUGUAUAUUUAGUCAAAGAAUGUAUUUUUGACCAAGUUAAAUAGAAAUCUAGUAAAGGAGAUGUAAAUUGACUUCAAGAGAAAUAAAUUUGAGUUUCUUUAGGGAUGAAUAUGAUCUUGAAAAUGUUUUUUGGUUCAUGGAUAUCUAUAGCCUUAUAAGUGGAUAUUAUUUAUCAUUGUUAGUUUUUUAUGGUCUUAUGAGUAUACUCUUUAAGCCAAAAAUCAUUGGAGUGUUAAUAAUUUCUUGUUUUUUUUUUUAUCCUUUGUAGACCCUCAAUUUUGUCCCUUGCCACUUGCAUGUAUCUUGGGGGUGUCACUCGCACCCAAUUUCUGUAUGUCACGGCCAUGGAGCCCUUGUUGGGCUUAAUCGGGUUUCGGACCUCACAUGAGUUCACUUAUGGUUUGAUUUAGUGAGAGUGUUUGGUUCUUUAUGAAAUGCCGUCGUGGCCAAUUCCUUGGUUCAUAUCAUGCUACAUGUUAGGAGUUAGGGUCUCCAUAAAGAUUUCAGUUCAGUUAAAGCUCGCCGAAGCCCAUCCAAGUCGGCAGUACUCUGUCUUGUUUUAGUCAUUUCUCCCUCAUCUGAGCUCAGAAUUGCGCACCAUUUUUUUUUUGUUGGAUUCCUUAUUUCUCGAGGCAUAUUCUGUCAAAAUUUGAGAAUUUUUAUCAACCGACUCGAUUGGUUUGUUUUUGGUGUUCUUAGCACCCUAGGCCCAUUUAGAUGCACCUAGCCCAUUUGGCACACUCCUAAGUCACUUAGCAUGUUGUUUUUUUUUUUUUUAAUCAUUUGGACACCUCCUUGGUUUAGUUUCCCCCUAAUUCACCUUGGCACUUUCCACUUAGGUCACCUAGGUCACUUAGAGAUUUAUUUAUUUAUUUAUUUAUUUUUUUGUGGGCUUAAUUCCCUACGAUUAGUUUAUGGAUUGAUGGAUUUUUGAGAUUAGGUGAAUAUUUAGCUUAAUUUUUUCCAUGUGGGUUACUUGAGAUGAAUUUUCGAUGUUCAACUAUGUCAACUUGAUAUUUUAUUUUUAUUUUUUUUAUUUGUGUUUUAGUUCAAUAUUUAGAUCAUUGUUACAUACACACGAUAUUUAUUUCUUUUUCCGGAUUUAUUUAUUUAUUCAUCCACUUAUUUAUUUUCAGAAAAGUGCAGGUGACUGGGGAUCUAGUAUUAUUAUUAUUAGUUAUUACUAGUAUUAUUAGUUAUUAGUAUCAUUAUUAUUAGUAUUAUCAUUAGUUAUUAUUAUUAUUAUUAGUAUGUACUUACCGUAUAUUUUUUAUUUUUAUUAUUACACUCUUCUCAUUUUAUUUUUCAUGUUUUUUUUUUUAUAUAUAUAGGUUUUCUUACCUUUAUUUUUAUUUUUAUUCUUUUAGUUUAUUCAAAAAAAAAAAGGGGGUCGGGGGGGGGGGGGGGGGGGGGGGGGGGAAAAAAGGCCAAAAAAAGGGGGUUUAAAAAAAGGGGGGGGGAAAAGGGAUUUUUUUUUUUUGGGGGAAAAAUUAAAAAGAAAAAAAGGGGGCCCGGGGGGGGGGUUUAAAAGGGAAAAAAAGGGAAAAGUUGGAGGGGGGGGGUUUUGGGGGGCCCUCAGGGGAAAAGGGGGGGGGCCUUUUUCCCGGGGAAGGGGGGGGUUUUCCCGGGGGGGGGAAAAAGGGGGAGAUUUUGGGAAAAAAGGGGGGNNNNNNNNNNNNNNNNNNNNNN
rnacentral:lncRNA from 1 species